UCCUAAAUGUGCCGCCAAGUGCAAUAGGUUAUUGCCAAACAUGUCUGUUGUAUAGUUAAUUAUAUCCUUAUUUUCAGAUAGAGUAAGCAUGAAUUGGAACACAUUGUGUUUGCGAUGAAGAACCGCAUACGAGAAUAUGUCUCUUCCAUGAUUGUCCAUUGCCAAUAAGAGGUCAUGGUUAGCCUUCCUCAUAGCAUUUAUGAACUCAACAUUUCCAUGCUUUGCUGCUUCCAACAUGGCAUCAUACACCAAAGCAUCCUGGAGUUGUGAACUAUUCAACUUCCGAACAUUAUCUUUAUAAUACCUUAAUAUUUGUAGAAAUUCAUUCUUGUCUCCAAAUACACUCUCUCUAUUUUUUGAUUUCCGUCCCCAUGAAUCCAUAAUUGAGCAUUGUGAAACUAUGGGAAGGAAAACAAAAUUACUCAUGGUUUAGUUUUAUUAACAAAAAAGAUAUUUAGAAAUUUGAUCAUUUGAACCAACAAACAAUCUCAGAAUUAACUAAUGAAUCUAAAUAGUUACCAUUAGAGUAAUUUUAAAUUGAUUUUUACAUUUUUUUAAGUUGUUUGAUUUCGUAUUUUUUUUUUAAAUUGUAUAUGUUACUAAAUUAUUAGUCUUUAAAUUCAAAAUUGCUUGUUGAAACGCAUAGCAUCAUGUAAUAACAUAAUGAUUUAAGUAUUUUUAUUUUCUUAUAAAGUUAUCCAAUUUUAACUUUAUUCCUCAUAGAAAAGCAUCAGACUUUCAUUUUCAAACAGUUAAUUAUGUUUUUUAGAAUAUUUUUACGUAGCAUUUGUUAUCAACAUAUAUAACAUGUUUAGUAAAAUGGGACCCAACAAUAGCAAGUGGCACCUUUUAAUGUCCAUGAUAUAGUGUAACAAGGUGUUUUCUUUAAAAACAAAUUGUAAAUCUUUAAAAUAAAUAUUAUUUGUGUAGUUUAAAACAAAAUUUAAGAUAAAAAAUAAUUAUUUCAGAUUUUGAAGAAAUUGAGAUUAAGAAAUAUUUUACUAAAUUAAAACAUAAAUUUAUUCAUUUUAUAAAGAUUAAACACAGUACAUACUAAAAACUACAUUUUUAAAUAAUAACCAAUUUUAAAAACAAAAAUAAUUAAUUUAGAUACUAAUUUAUAAACUCAAAAUUAUUAUAUCUAAAAUAAUAUUUAUGAAUAAAAAAUUAUAAUUAAUUUAUAAAUUAAACUAUAAAUUAAUCAUUAAUAUUAGUUAUCAAAAUUUUGACUAGUGUCCAAAUUAGUUUCUAAAUGACUAGUAAAUAAUUUAGACAAUAAGACCUAAUUUAUAUCUAUGAUACUCUCUAAACUUAUAUAUAUAUAUAUAUAUAUAUAUAUAUAUAUAUAUAUAUAUAUAUAUAUAUAUAUAUAUAUAUAUAUACACACACGCACACGUACGUUAUAAAUUGUUUUUAAUCAAUUAGACACUUAUUUCAAAACAGAGAGAUACAUUGAUUAUUUAAAAUUGAUGAUUUUAAUUUAACUUUCCAAAUUAAUGCUUUUACACGUCAAGAUUCAUUUAAAUCACUUAUAGAUGCAUGUUUACAUAUGUAUGGAUCUUAUGUAAAUAUGUGAUAAACGCAACAAUCAAAGGACAAAUCUAUACUUACCCUUCAAAUUUCCAAACAAUAUUGUCCAAAUAAAUUCGAGUAUAUUACCUGAAAGAACCAUAAGAAGAAGUUUAAGUCAGUCGCAUAUCUUUUGUGCUUAAUAAUUAAGCGUUGUUGUCAUAAACUAUUCUUCAACCAUAUGUUUCCUUUAUCUCGUUUAGGGAUUUGUUUUAAGUCUUAAUUUAUUAAUUUCAUUCUUCAACUCCACUUUCAAUAUUUUUUUUUUAAGAAUUUUAUCAACACAUAAAGCAAUCUUAUAUCACCAUAUCAAUUUCUAAUAAAUCUCUUUUCUGAAAUUAAUAUAUUAUUUUUAUAAUAUUUUUAACUAAUACAAAUUUUCAUCAAAUUUAUUUAUUUUAUCUAUGCUUUUCACUCAUUUAAGUAAUUGAAGAUAACACCUUUACCUUUUUUUAUUAUUAUUAUUUUCCAUCUAUUUUGAAAACACGUUUUCUCUACUAUAAUUUUAUUUGAAUUUCUCCUUUACAAGUAUUUUAGAUUAUGUAUUAAGUAUAUAUUUUAGAUUCCGUAUUCGAAUGCAUAAAACUGAUCUCAUCGUUAUUCAAUUAUAAUUUUCACCAUUUUUAUUUAUUGAUAAAUAAUGUUUCAUCAGUUAUUAAAGAGGUAAUUUUUAACCCAUCACAGAUUGACACAUAAAUUCGAAUGUUGUCAAAAAAUGUUGUCUAAAUAUCAUUAUCCAUUAUGAAAAGUAAAAAUUAUAUGGAUUGAAUGCUUCUUCCAAAAAAAAAAAUAAACAUAAUUGAGUGGCUAAUUAAUUCAAGAGAAAGCAUAGGUAAAAAAGAAGAAAAUCUUACCAUCUAUCUUUAUUAAGUCCCAAAAACUGGGAUAUAAAUGUGCAGCUGGCAUUCGAGCCAAUUGGUGCAAGACGCCUAGGCAUUCAAUGGGCAGUUCCUCAUAAUUAAGCAAUUUCAAAACUACAUCUGCGAGUUCAAACCAUGCAACUAUUUCAGAAUUAACUUCUUUUCUUAAACAUGCUAUCAACUGCAAACUAAUAUUCCAAAUAUAUAUAUAUAUAUAUUAGGUAAAUCAAAGAAGCAUUGAAUUGAGGGUUUGGAGUAGAGAAUGAAGGAAAUAGCAUAUGGAUAUACUGUGGUUCAUUUGCUUACCUAAUAUAUACGCUUGGAUGCAUCGUUCCAGCAGCAAAACUCGAUUGUCUUUGAUGACAUGAGAAGGAGUUUUAAGGAAAAGGUAACGAGUCAUUCUUUUGCGUCCUGAAUUAGCAGCCAUAAGAAGAGGGAUCUCACCCUCUUUGUUCUCUAUACCAAGCACUUCUUCGCCACCUUCCACAUUUACCAUACUUCUUGCUAUAUUAACGUUUCCAGUGUAACUAGCAGCAAGAGCAAGUGCAGUAUUACCAUCCUCAUCCUUCAUUUCUACUAAUUGCUUCUUUCCUAAAUACACUAACCCCUCCACAAUGAUCCUAUGUCCUUCUAUUGUUGCAACAUGAAGAACCGUCCUACCUGAAGGUGAAGCCCAAAAUAUGGCAUUUGGUUGAUCCCUCAAGUAUGAGCUUGUGCCUUCCCAAUCACCGUUUUCCACACACUUGUAUAAAGCUUUGUGCUCACCAACGUUGUCGGAUACAACACCUAUGUGCAUCUCAUUCACAUGAAAGCAUAAAUAAAUAUUUUGAGUUACUACUAUCUGUAAAUAUAUACUUUAUAUAAAAAUAAAAUAAAAUUGAAGAUGCAUCUAAACACUUAGUACCGUGACGAAUAUGCGGUUGGACUUUAAACUCAGAUAUGCAAAGUUUAGCCAAGUGAUUCCAAGCUAUGUGGGCAGUUUGGAAGUGUUUAAUUUGAUCGAAAAUGUUUGGUGCACAUGAUAGUUGAAUGAUAUGCAGAGCCUCUGCGUCUUUCUGUGCAUCAAUGGGUGUGGAUGCAGAACCACUCUCCACAACAUCCCACAGAUUUUUCCCUCUCAGAUAAUUUUUCAUUAGAAUUUUCCAUUCUUGAUAAUUGUAUCUUGUGAGCUCUUCACGAACUAUUCCGCGGGAUGCAACACCAAUGCACUCCAUUACGCUGUCUUGCCUUGCAUUGCUUCACAUCCUUUAUGUUUAGGGGAGAAAAGAACAUAUUCUGUUUGGUGCUGCUUUUAAAGGAAGACAAGAAUAUCACAGAGUUAUCAAAGCCAAAAAAACAAAAAGAGGAAAUGUUAUUGAUCUGAAGUAAAAGUGUGUUACAAAGAAGAGAAGAAGAUUUACAUAUAAAAAAGAAAAAGUUUAAUUAAAUUUGAAGUAUAUAACAGAUUUUAAAACUUUUAAUUGAAUUUAUAUUAAAUUUUUGUGAUCUAUUUAAAUUCUAAAAACUCUAAAUUUUUUAAAUUGAAUUCUCAUUGUUAGAUUAUUUUAAUGUGGUCAUUUUAUUCUUAAAUUUCAUUGUUAAUGUGAUUAUUAUCUAUCAUUUUAGUUUUUAUUACAUAUAAUUUCAUAUUAAUUAAGACAAUAGUUACAUUACUUAGUUACAACAAAAUCCAAUAGGAAGAAACGCAAUUGAAAAAUUUUUAAUUUUUAAAAAUUCAAUAAAUUAUACAAAUUUUAUAGAAACUUAAUUGAAAAUUUUUAAAUUUAAAAUAAAUUUAAAACUUAAUUAAAAAAAAAAAAAACUCUAAAACUAACAUAGGAAAGAGAACAUAAAACUAACAUAAAUACAACUCCAAUAAGGGAUAAAUAUUUGGAAAACUUUACACUCAUAACUCAUCAUUUCUAUGCUCCUUUUCAAUACUUAAUAAAAAUUUAAUAUUUAUACUCUUUUAAUUAAUUCAUCUUAAAUUAUUUUUUAUUUUAAAAUAAAAUAUAUAUUUUUAGUGGUUGUUGAAUAAAAAAUUGGAUAUCUAUGUAUCAUACCUUAAAUAUUUACUUUAUAAAAUAGUCACAUAAUAGAAAUAUUAUGUUGUUUAAAGGGAAAAAAACAAAUAUAAAAAUUAAAAAAGAAAAUGAUACGUUGACACUCCUUCAAAGAAAUUAAACCAAUUCACACUAUAAUAUACUAACAUUUUAAUCAUAUUUCUUUCAUAUUUUAAUAUAAAUUAUUAAUAUAUAUAUAUAUAUAUAUAUAUAUAUUGUUAUAUUAUUUGAAUUGGCCCUAAAGUUAACUUUAUAUUAUGUCCAAAAGUAUAAUUUUUAAAAAGAGAAACACAUAUAACUUUUUUCUUUCUUCUAUGUUUCACGUGUUUAGUUUCCUUUGUCCAUUUUUUCCCCUAACAAGUAAAAGUUAUAUUCUUAUUCUUUGCGUGUUUUUUUUUUCUGUUACGAAAGUGCUAUCUUAUUAUGUUCUUUUCUAAAUAAAAGAAUUGUUAAUAAUGUUUUAUAGAGUAGUAUAGUAACGGUACCGAUAUAUAUGAAAAAUUCUCUAUAUAUAAUUUAUUUUUCUAUUUUUUCAUACAUGAAGUUACCUAUUGUAAUCCUAAUAUUAUGUUUUAAUCUUAACAGUUAUUUAUUUUUAGCUGCAAUUCGCAUACUAGUUAUUAGGAGUUCCCAAUUUAGAAUUUUUUUUGUUCACUGAAUACGAUCUAUAACCAUAUCAGAAAUGUUUUAAAUAUAUUUCCAUUAUGUUUUAAUAAAAGUCAUGGUUUAUUUAAUAAUUGGAGCAACAAGAAUUUUCUGUUAAUUAUUCCUUAACAUAUUAGUGUAAUGCACAAGAUAUACUUAUCUUGAGAUGCUCGCGUCACUUUUGUUUGAGAGACAUUUGGAACAACAUUUCCUUAAAUUUUCUUUUAUCUUGCUUCCAAUGCACAUCUUAUUUGGAAGAAAUUUCUAACAACCAUUUGCAUGAUAUAUGUGUGUGAUUACAAAGCCCCAUAAAAUAAUCACUACAACAAAUUGUUAAAUUUUAACCCAAUUUUUUUAAAAAAAUCUAUUUAUUUAGUAAAUAUUAGAGUUUAUUAAAUUACGAUACUAUUAGAGUCUAUUUAGAUUCAAAGAGUUAAUUUUUUUAAAGUUAGAAAGUGUAAAAUUAUUUCUAAUAUUUUUAAUAAAUGAAUGUUUGUAUUAAUAUUGAAUUAUUUAAAUUUAUACUAUGAAUUUUUUUGAAAUUACAAAUAAAAUUUUUCGACGAAAAACAACUCAUCAAUAAAUAUAAAUUACCGACAUAUUUAUUUUAUCAGUAAUAUAUAAUUUAUUUUUCUCGUAGUUUCUAACAAAUUGUCGGUAAAUUCAUUUUUUCUCUUCGUCUUACAUAAGCUAAACCAAUUUUAGUUAUAUAUUACAAUUUUUUCAUCUUUGUGAAAUGAAUAAAAACGGUACAUUAUUUUUUAUCUAAUGGUUAAAAUUUAAAGAUAACAAAUUCUAUUACUCAUAAUUUUCUUUCUUCAUUGACUUUAAAUAUAAAUUCUCUCAUACUCUAUUUCAUUUAUAUUAAUAAAUUUCUUUACAUUUGUUUCAAUUAUCCAUACCCAUAUCUUGCAUAACACUUCUUUCUUGAAUUACACUUAUCUUUUUCACUUACAUUUAUCUCUCUUUUUUUAACCUUUUUCACCUCAUCUCCUCCAUUCAAUCUCUUCUACUGUUCUUCUUCAUCUAAUAUUUGAUGUAUUAUACUUGUAAGUAAUUGAAUAUUAAAUAAAAUAAAUAAAUCAAAGUAUACGAUGAAAAAAAAACGUAGAAAACUUAUGUUAUGCGAGUUUGGUGAAUAACAUUAAUUACAGGCACAUAGACGUCGCUCACCCAGAAAUCCGACAUCUAUAUUGCAGAAAUUGAUGUCUUUCCGCCUUCCGGACAGGCCAUAGAUGUCGAUUUUUUACUACGUGACGUCUAAGCGCCUGAGAAUCAGGUGAAGAGCAUUAAUUACAGUCAGGUAGACGUCAGGCCCCCAUCACAACCGACGUCAAUGGGGCAGAAAAGACUGUCUUCUCCCCUACCUCAGGCCAUUGGAUGUCGGUUUAGGGCAGAGUAGACGUCUACUAUAUCAUAGACGUCGUUUGUCCUAAAUACCGACGUUUUGUUUACCAACUUAUUUACAAUAAUGUCACCGUCCAUUAAUAUACGUCGAGCUACCCUCUAACCCACGUCUUAUGGGUGACAUUAAACAACAUUUUUGCACUAGUGUACUACACUAUUCUUCUUCUCGCGCAAUAAAGUCUUCCUCUCCCAUCUCCCAUGUGCCUUCUUCUGGCGCUCAUCUUCCAACCUAGCUCAUCUUUCCGUGUGCAAAUAUAGUCCCUUGCAUUGUAUUGGAACCUUUAGAGAAGGAAGAAGAUGUCAAACACAUUUUGUAGCGACUGCAAGAAGCAAACAGAGGUUCUAUUCUUCCUCCUUUCUCACUGGUUCUAGGUUGGUAUUGCAGAGAGGGGAAACAUCAAUUUUUUUCCCUAUUGCUAGUUUCUCUUAACAAACCCUAUUAAGAGGUUCUAUUCUCAAUCUCUUCUUUGUGUCAUUUAUCUUCAAGCUUUUUUUCUUCUUCCUUUCUCGCAGACCACCUACCUAGGACGAUCAUCGAUGCCACUACGAUGGUAACGAAAGAACGGCGACGACGCGACUAGGGUGGGACGAGGAUAAAGACACUGCGAUGGCUGCGAAGGAACGAUGACGACACGGCUAGGGCUUGGCGAGGGCGUCAACUGUUAGGUUCAGGACGAACCAAGGCUUAAAAUACAAAAAAAAAAAAAAAUAAUAAAAAACACACUACUCCCUCGGUUACCUAAGAACUUAGGCAAAAUCUUAUCCCUUAAUCGAGGCAAAAAACCUACACCUUUUUGCCUUGUUUGUAUAUGUCUCGGUUGUAGAAUCGCUACCUAUAGACAAAAAUAACUGCUAUCAUUUCUCCUUACUACACUAGUGUAUAUUUAAAAUAUAAUAAAUAAGAAUAUAAAUUCAAACAAAUAUAUUAAGAAUAUAUAUAUAUAUAUAUAUAUAUAUAUAUAUAUAUAUAUAUAUAUAUUUAUUGAUAUGUGUUAAACUGAUUUUUAUCGUCUAAAAUCAGAACAAACUAGAUUUUCUCACUAAUGUAGUAAGGGGACAACCUAGAUAUCAAUCUAAGGAUUCAUUGAAAUUAAGUUUAAAGUGUAUAGUUAAAUCUUGUUUUUAUUUUCUAAUUACUAUUAACUACGUGACAAGGUGGAGAAGAUAAACUAAAGAAAUGAAACUAAAAAGGAAAAGUUAGACUAAAAUCUAUUUAAAGAAAGAAAAUAAGAAAAUGGAAUGCAAAAGAGAAAUUAAAAUAACUAUGACCUAGAUUAAAGUAUGGAAGAGCUAGAAUCUAAUUAUACCUAAAACAGGACCUCAAGUGAAUGUAUUAUGCAAAAGAAAACAAAGGAUUGAAUCUAAAAAAUAAAACCAAAGCAUCUAAUUACUAAAUGCAUAAAAUCGAUAAUGAAUAACCAAAAGAAUCAAAUCCAAAAAUAGAAUGAAAACAACAUAGUCGAGAACUGUAAAUUGCACAAAUUGAAAUAAACUUCAACUAACCUAUCCAAAACAAUUAACAAGUUCAAAUCUCGAAUGAAUCAAAAGAAAACUUUAAAAUUGCAUCAAAUCAAAACUAGAAACAAGAAUAGAACAAUAGAACUGAAAUUUAUUCAAUGAAAAAUGGAAAUUACACCAAUAGAAAGGAACCGAGCAAACCACGGGCUGUCACCACCGCGGCUUCCCGAUCAAAAAGUCCAAGAUUUACAGUAGAAAGCUACUCUACAAAAAGCAAUAAACCUCACCGAGAACCUGUUAACGAUGUCUGUCACCCACCGCUUACAACACAGCGUCAUCUCUCACAAUCGCCUCUCAUGGGUGGAGUCUGUCACCCUCCACCGUUCACACACUAGUUCGCGGAGUUUGUUACCUUCUUGCGAUUCACACUCAAAAAUCUGUACAAACCCCUCUUUUAUAGGGUCCAAUAGAAAAGAAAGAAAGGAAGAACCUUGACGCUUCACUCUUGUCUUCAAUCGGACGACCAUCUUCACUUUGCUCACGAGAUUGGUUCUACACCCUUUGAUCACUUCAGUGUUCUCGUUGGUUCAGGCUCUGAUCAUCUUCUAUUAAGUGACACUUGAGCAUUUGAGAGUUUUCUUCCUCUCACACGAGCAAGCCAUAGCUUUUGGGUGCUUCUUUUUCUCUUAGCCUCUCCAAAGUGAAUUGCUCGAGCCCUCUGCAAAUGAAAAUGGGGGAAGAGACCCCUAAGGCAGCUGCUUGGCUUGAAACACACCGUUUCACUUAAGCUCAAAAUCCAUGCUAGCAGCCCACUUCCUGCAAUUCAUCCCAGCAACAGCAGCGGCCCAGUGCAGUGGCAGUAGAGCCCAAUUUGAGGGUUGAUCCCUCCACCUCCCCAUUUGUUUCCUCUAAUUCCCCAACUUUCUGAAUUUUAUUUUAAUUACAAAAUAAUUUUUUUUCUUCCCUUUUUAACCUUUUACUUUUUUUAACCAUUAACUUUCUUUUACAUUUGUUCCCUCCCCCUCCACCUCCCCCAUUAACUUUUUACUUUUUAAUUACUGUUUACUUUUAUUCUGUUCAAAACUCCACCUCCAAAAAUUUUUGAGAUCUGUACUCCAGUUUUUAAGAUCCCUUUUUCUUCUCCCAGUCACACUCUUCUGUCAGUUACUUUUGGUCCAAAUUCUAAUAUUUAAAUUAACAAAGAUAAAUUCUGACAAUCAAAAUACUUUUAUCUUGCUAAAAAUAAAUAUAUUAAUUAACUUUUUCAAUUGAUUAUAUUAUAUAUGAAUUAAAUUUCAGUAUUUUUAGUAUUGAAGUACAAAAUGAGUGUUUACUGUACUGCAAUUUCCUUGCUUUCCCUCUCACUCAAAGCUUCCACUUGCUCCAUCAAUGAAGUCACCAAUAAGCUUCAGUUUCAGACACGGGUCAACUCCGGUGCGCGAAGCAAACUCAACACCGAGUUUAUCUCCCAUGACUCACCGGAACCCACCAACAAACCAUGCUUUUGUGGAAGAAGACCCUUCAUUGAAGCUGCAACAUUGAGAGUUUACCUUGUUUCCUGUUCAACCUUCCGUAGCCACAAACUCAUAUUCUGAUUACACGGUAUUUGGUCUUUUGCCACCUACCUAGAUAACAGAAACAAAAAAUAUUAGAACUUGGGUUCAAAUUCUAACGAAAGAUUAAGCUUUUCUUGAUGUAAUUUGAAAAAAAAAAGAUUUUUUUUUUAAUUUUGCUUUCUUUUUGUUUUUGUAGGCUGUGACGGAGGUGGGAGGAGAAAAAAGAAUCUUAAAUUUGAGAAACGGAUCUCAGAAGUUUGGAGGGAUGGGAGGUUUUGAAUAGAGUAAAAGAGAAGAAAAACGAAUCUCAGAUUUAAGGAACGGAUCUCAAAAGUCUGGGGGUGGGAGGUUUUGAAUAGAGUAAAAGUGAAGUAGGGUUAAGUUAAGGAUAAAUAAUAUUAAAAUAAAAAAAUAAAAAGGUUAAAAAAAUAAAAGAAAAUAUUUUUGUAAUUAAAAUAAAAUUCAAAAGAUUGGGGAGGUGGAGGGAUCAACACCCGCCCAAUUUCACCUGCAGCACCCAAUUUCAAUCGUAACAGUGCCAAUCCAACCAAAGCCCAAUCUAAACACAAAAAAAAUAAGCAAAUUUAGAGUGUUAUCAAUAUGCUACAAUGUUAUGUAAUAAUAAAUUAAUCAACAUAACGAAAAAAUUGUUAAUUAUAGUAAAAGUUUGUGCUUUCUUUUGAUUGAUUGUUAACUUAAAACAUCUUUAUUAAACUUUACAGGUUAUACUAAUAUAUAUGCAUUUAAGUUUUAAUAAGAUAAGUUAAUUCACUUAAAAAUGUUAUAAAAUAAAUAAAAACUGAAAUGAGUUAAUAUUAGAAGACUAAUCCCACAAACUCGUGUCUCAAUCCCUUUCACACGAGACUUUUAAGAUUAUGACUUUAAAAAAAAAAAAUCUCAAUUAAAUGGACUAAAAAAAUAGAAACUAUUUUUUGAGAAGUGAAGGGAUCAACUUAUGGAUUAUGGACCUGAAUGAGAAUUGUCCACUGUAUUUGAACACUAAUAUAUAGGGAUCAUGUUAUGAAAACACGUUAAACUCAAAAGAGGAAGUAUGAUAAUUUUAUUCAAUAAUGAUCUUUUCAUAAAUACGAGCUGAAUCAGAAUAACAAAUUGUAACAGUAGCAAAGUGCUAAACUUCCUAUAAAAAGCCACUAAAUUAAUUGAGUAAUGAAAAUAAAUAACGUUCUAAAACUUGGCUAAACAGCAGGAAAACAGAGAAACUGUUAAACAAAUGCACACGUUGAAACCACCUAACGUGGCUAACAGUACAGAAAAUAAAAACAUUAACUAAUAACUUCAAAUGAUAGUUAAUGUCGGCGUGCUCUGCAAUAUAACGCAAAACUGAAGGGUAGGCGUAAACUGAAUGGAGCCAAUAUGACAACUGCUACAAAGAUGUGCUUGUACAACCAUGAUUUUUGUAGAACUAUUCCAAGCGCAGCACAGAAGGCAAUCAUCAUGGACACUAGGGAGAGGGAAAGGCACCCAAGCCCUGACAUUAUCUUGGUGGGCAAUCUUCUUUGGAAGUCUGUCGGAGCAUAACUCGAUGUUUGAAGGUCAAUGUAUAUAAAUACUGUAAAGAUAGAAGCCAGGAGAGAGAUUGCAUCAGCUACAAUAAACACAGUAAACCGUUUAUCCUUUAUAAAAAUAGGAAUUCCACUGUCUUGAUGGAGACCCCCUGGGACAGUGAAGAUUGCAGCGAACAUGACAGUUAUAACGAGAACACCCACAAUUGCAAAUGUCCCAGCUGUUUCCUUUAUCCAUUUUUCUCCAUCUUUCAUCAGCUCCUUGUGUGUUUCCAUAAAUAUCUCUUCAGGCUUCUUACCUUCAUCAUUUUUGGCUUCUCUACAUUUCACAUGCACAACUUCCUCCACCGCCUGCACUCAUUUCAUCCACGUUAAUGCAUGCAUGGACUAUAUAUUGCACUAGAGAGAAAAAACUAAUGAAGAUGAAUGCACCUUAAACCAGUCAAUUUCUCUUUUCAUUUGCCGAGCAGCACCGGAUCUGCGAUUCAGAUCAGACAAAGGUCCUAAACGUGCCGCCAAAUGCAAUAAGUUAUUGCCAAACAUGUCUGUUGUAUAGUUAAUUAUAUCCUUAUUUUCAGAGCGAGUAAGCAUGAAUUGGAACACAUUGUGUUUGCGAUGAAGAACCGCAUACGAGAAUAUGUCUCUUCCAUGAUUGUCCAUUGCCAAUAAGAGGUCAUGGUUAGCCUUCCUCAUAGCAUUUAUGAACUCAACAUUUCCAUGCUUUGCUGCUUCCAACAUGGCAUCAUACACCAAAGCNUCCNGGAGUUGUGAACUAUUCAACUUCGAAACACUAUCUUUAUAAUAUCUUAAUAUUUGUAGAAAUUCAUUCUUCUGUCCAAGUACACUCUCUCUAUUUUUGGAUUUCAGUCCACAUGAAUGCAUUGCCCAUUCUGAAACAAUGGGAGGGAAAAUAAAAUUACUUAUGGUUUGGUUUUACUAACAAAAGAUAUUUAGAAAUUUCAUCAUUUCAACGAACAAACAAUUUCAGAAUUUACCCUCCAGAAUGUUAGACUCCGUAGACAGAAUUUAUUGUAAUUAUCGAAUCUAAAAUAGUUACCAUUAGUGUAAUUUUAAAUCGAUUAUUACAAUUUUUUCUUUAAGUUGUUUGAGUUUUUUAUUUUUUUUAAUAAGAGUUUAAUACGCUAAUCCAACUUGAUUUGGAAUUCGAAUCAAACAAUAAAAAAUAUCAUCACAUCUUUAAUUCUUAACCAACAAUAUUUUAAAAUCCAUAUCCACACUUUGAUCACAUUUGAUGAUUAUAAAUUUAUUUUACAAUUUAAUAAAUAUUAUUUCAAACCUUUAUAGUUCUUCAAAUAAAUAAUUAAAAAAAAAUCAAGUUUACUAAUAUGAUCCAAAAAUGGAUGCAAGAUAUAACUUUGAGCAUGGGUGUUAUUUUAUAUGUUUAUUAUGAAAUUAAAUUAGAUAGACUAAUUACCAGUUUAAUUCAUGAACACAUUAUCAAUUUAAUUUUAAUUAGACACACUAAAUUAAAUCAAUUAAUCCAAAUAUUCAACUUGGUAGGUUGAAUAGAACUUGGUUACAUUCAUAAGUUAAAUAUUGUAUAUGUUACUAUAUUAUUAUUCUGUAAAUUCAAAAUUGCUUGGUUGAUACACAUAGCAUCAUGUAAUAACAUAAUGAUUUAAAUAUUUUUAUUUCUUAUAAAAUCACCCAAUUUUAACUUUAUACCUCAUAAAAUAGCUUCAGACAUUCAUUUUCAAAGAGCUAAUGCUUUUUAGAAUAUUGUUAUGUAGCAUUUGAUAUCAACAUAUAUAAUAUGUUUAGUCAAAUGUGACCUAACAAUAGCAAGUAACACCUUUUAAUGUCGAUGAUAUAAUGUAACAAGGUGAUUUCUUUUAAAAAAAAUUGUAGAUCUUUAAAAUAAAUAUUUUUCGUGUACUUAAAAUAAUUAUUUCAGAUUUUAAAGAAAUUAAGAUUAUAAUAAUUAAUUUAGAUACAAAUUAAUAAACUUAAAAUAUUAAUAUCUAAAAUAGUUUCGAUAUUAUGAAUAAAAAAUGAUAAUUUGUUUGUCAAUUAAACUAUAAAUUGAUCACUAAUAUUAGUUAAGUUUGGACUACUAAAAGAAUAGACACUCAUUUCCAAAACCUUGAUUAUUUAAAAUUAAUGAUUUUAAUUUAACUUUCCAAACUAAUAUGUUUACGCGUCAAAAUUCGUUUAAAUCACUUAUAGAUACAUGUUUACAUGUAUGCGAUCCUAUUUAAAUAUGUGAUAAACUCAAAAAAGAUGAAUGAAAGAGACAAAGCAAUACUUACUCACAAACUUUCUAGAGAUGUUCAUAAUUGCCAAAAUGAAAUCGACUAAAGUACCUGAAAGAACCAUAAGAACAAGUUUAAGUCAGUCGCGUAUCUUUUGUGCUUAAUAUUAUUUUUCAUCUUGUUAAGAGGACAAAUAAAAGAAAUUCUGCCUUAUAUAUAAUUGAAUGAAAAUAUCAUGAAUAUAUACAUGAGAGAGAAUCUUCAAUUAUGUUAUUUUAUCUCUAUAAUUGUGUUACUUUGUUACUAUAAUAGUGCAAGAUUAUUCCUACUCCGACUUUAUAAUAAUGCAAGAUUAUUGCUACUAUGUUGAUAUAAUAAUGCAAGAUUAUUUCUUUAAGCAAAAUAUUUUAAUAUGGAAAAUUAAGACAAUAUUUUCUUUCAAUAAUCUUGUGAUAUGAUUUAUUUUCUAAUACUCUCCUUUAAGUUAGAUAGUAAAAUUUGCAUUUUAUGGUAGAGAAAACUUCUUUUUCCAAUUGUUUGGUGAACACAUCAACAAGUUGUUCAGCUAAAGGUACCAUUAGUGCAGAAAUAACAUUUAAUGUCACGCAUUUAACGUCUAACGAAAGAAAAUUCAACGUAAAAAAUGACUGGUGAUAAUUUUGUAAAUAAAACGUCAUUAUAGAAGUCAGUUAAAUGGGUUACCAACGUCAAAUAAGAUAUAAACGUUGGCUUCCCAAAGGUCAGACGUCAAAUGGUUUGCAUACAGGACUGAAAAAUCACUAUUUUAUUGCCUUUACAUGUCGGCUUUCCCCUCCACAGACGUAAAAAAUGUUUGAAAAUAUCUCAUUUUAAGCGUCAUUAUUAAUUCUUCUACGACUUAGACAUUGGCUCCUUCCCUACAGACGCCAAAAAGGUGCGAAAUUACCUCAUUUGGGCGCCAAUAUAUUUUUUUUGCUACUUAGACGUCGCCCUCCCUUCCCACAAACGUCAAAAAGGUGCGAAAUUACCUCAUUUUAGGCACCAAUAUUAAUUUUUUUUAUCACUUAGACGUUGGCUGGGAAUGGGACCAACGUCAAAUACCCUGCAUUUUCACCCACUCUAGAAUGCGAGCACUAGUUACACGUUUUCUCUCUUGUUGCGUUCAACAUCCUCCUCUGCUUGCUCUCGUUCGCCAUUAAAGUUUAGGUAAGUUUUCUUCCAUUUUGCACUGUUUAAAAACAUUUUGCACCAAUUAUAUAUUACGUUUGAAACCAUUAUCUUUCAUUGCAUCGAUUAAAAUUUGUUUUCAUUAGCUUUUGGUGCAGUUCUUGGGCACGUUUUGGGACAAUUGCAAUGGCGAUUCUCAGACCUUUAUUGUGCGCAUUUUUCUCCUCACCCUCACAGGGGCACCUAUCUACUCCCUCAUCUUCACGGUUAGUUUCAUAUAUUAGUUGUUUCAUUUUCAUUGGUUGUUACUACUUCUAAAAUUCUGGAAUUUUUUGUGGUGUAUUCUUGUGUUGUAUAUUGAUCUUUCAUGGUUUUAGUGGAAGAAAAUAUUGUUGAAUUUUUUUUAAAAAAAAAAACAAAAAUUGACGUCUGUUGUUCUUACAACAGAUGUUAAUUAACGUAUGUUAUAAAUGCAAUAGACGUUAAUUGACGUCUGUUCAAAGACAAUAGACGUACGUCAUACAUUUAAAAGACGUCAAUUUAACGUCUCCCACUAUGACAUCAAACAUUUAAUAGACAUCAAAAGUAUAAAAUAACAGACGUUAAAAGCUAUUUUUGUGUUUGUGUACAUAUCUAGUUGUGAAUGAACCAUCUUGAAUCUUAUCACCAAUGAAGUGACAAUCCAUCUCUAUAUAUCUAGCUCUUUCAUGAAAUAUUGGGUUAGCUGCAAUGUGUAAGGUUGUUAUAUUUUCACAAUACAACAAUGUCAAUUUAUGAUGCAAUAUCCCUAACCUUUCAACAAUUAUCAUAACCAAGUCAACUCACAUCAAGUACGAGCCAGUGUUAAUUAGUAGCCAAAGCUAAUAUACAGCAGCCAAAGCAUAUGGACAACAAAAGAUGCCUUGAGAGUUCCAUCAACAAAACUCAAUUUGGAUUUUGCAUUCAAAGAGAUGACCAUGACUCUAUGCCAAUUUGAAUAGUAGACUCCAUCUAAGGAUUUGUAAACAAGUAUCAUUCCAAGAUGAUCAGAAUGAUGAAAAGAAUAAAAACUAUUGGAAUUUGGUUCAUUUGCAUUGUUAGCUAUGAAAACAAGGAUAGAAAGAAAAACUUAGUGAAGGAUCGUUCCUAUUCUAAUACCAUGUUAAAAGGACAAAUAAAAAGAAUUCUACCUUGUGUAUAAUUGAAUGGAAAUUAUAUACGUGAGAGAGAAUAAUGCAAAAUUGUUCCUAUUCUAUUACUGUAUAAUAAUGUUAGAGAUUCUUACUCUGAUACUAUAAUAAUGCAAAAUAUUAUUCCGGUAAAUAAGCUAUUUUAAUAUGAACAAUGAUAAUAUUUUCUCUCAAUAAACACGUUUUCUCUACUAUAAUUAAUUUUAUUUUACUUUCUCCUGUACAAGUAUUUUAGCUCAUGUAUUACAUACUAUAGCGGUUACAAUAUUGCGCUUAAAAUAUGUAUUUUUAUGCUGAAAAGAGCACUUAACUUGAAAAAUUGAUAAUCACUUUUUUCAUAUUUGACUUAUAUUAUAAGUGAUUCCAGAAACAUAUUUUGACUUAAUUAUUGUGUGGAAUAAUAUUCAAAGAUCUCUUAGAUUCGAAUUUGUAAAAUAUGUUCAAGAUUUAAAUAUCUUCUAUCAAAACUUUUCUCUAUAUAGCAGUGAAGUCAAGGGAAAAGAUAACGGUUAUUUUUGUCUGUAGGCAACGAUUCGGUAACCGAGAUACAUACAGACGAGACAAAAAGGGAUAGGUUUUUUGCCUCGAUUGUGAACCGAGGGAAAAAUGGUAGGAUUUUGCCUCGGUUCAUAGAUAAUCCAAGUAGUAGAGUUUUUCCUUUUUUUAUUUUUUUUGAACAAACUUUUCACCUCGGUUCCUACUGAACCGAGAUAGUAGAGUGUUUUUUAUUAUUUUAUUUUUUGCUUUUUUGUCAGCUUUUUUGUCUUGAUUGUGACCUGAACCGAUGUCAUAGAUGACUUUCUGCUUCGGUUAUGGUUACAACUGAGACAUAUUCUCCUAUAUUUUUUUUAAGAAUAAAUUUGUUUCUGUAAUAUUUUCAAUUACAAAAACAAACCUGCAUAUAUUUAACAAUCCAAAAUAUUCAGAAUAAUCCAAAAACAUAUAUUUGAAAUUAUCAAGAAGCAGUAGCAUUGUAUAAAAGAGGUUGUCAGGUCAAAAGUCCUAUGUGCAAAAUCUUACCACUUCUAAAACAAAAAACCAUUGUGUUCCCAGGACUACGCGGAAAAUAUGCAAAAGACACUCGAGCCAAAUCCAGCAAGACGCGUAAGGAUUCAAUGGGCAGUUCCUCGUAAGACUUAAGCAAUGUCAAAGCCACAUCUGCGAGUUCAAACCAUGCAACCAUUUCAGUAUUAAAUUCAUUUUUCUUAAACAUGCUGUUAACUGCAAAAUAUGAUAUUCCAAUAUAUAUAUAUAUAUAUAUAUAUAUAUAUAUAUAUAUAUAUAUAUAUAUAUAUAUAUAAAGUUAUCAAUAUCGAUGAAAAAAUUAUAUAAAUAAUAUAAAUAAUAUUAUUUAUAUAAAUAAUAUCUUAAUUUAAAUAAGUCUACAAAAUUAUAUAAAUUUAAAUAAAUAAAAUUUAUAGAUAUAUUGUUCAUAAAAAUAAAUGUUGUAAAACAUAAAUAUGAUGAUUUUUCUUAAUUUUUUCUCCUUUCAAGCUUGAAAAAUCGUUUCAAACUUGUGAUUCUACCAAGUUUACACAGAAAACGAGUUUAUUUCUGAGUUAAUUCGGAAGCAUGUCUGAGAAUGUAAAUUCGUAAGAGUUUAAGAGUUAACUCGAGAGUUUGAUAACUAUAUAUAUAUAUAUAUAUAUAUAUUACAUAAAUCAAAGGAGCAUGUGAAGGAGGAAGGUUGAGGGUUUGAAGAAGAGAAUGAGAGAAGCAGCGUAUAUGGAUGUACUGUGGUUGGUUUGCUUACCAAAUAUAUGCGCUUGGAUGCAUCGUUUCAGAAGCAAAACUCGAUUAUGUGAAGACUGGUCAUCCAUGACAUGGCGAGGAGUUUGAAAGAAAAGGUAACGAGUCAUUAUUUUGCAUCCUGAAUUAGCAGCCAUAAGAAGAGGGAUCUCACCCUCUUUGUUCUCUAUACCAAGCAAUUCUUCGCCGCCUUCCGCAUUUACAAAACGUCUUGCUAUAUUAAGGUUUCCAGUGUAACCAGCAGCAAGAGCAAGAGCAGUAUUACCAUCCUCAUCCUGCAUUUCUAUUAAUCGCUUCUUUCCUAAGUAUACUAACCCUUUCACAAUUGUCAUAUGUCCUUUUAUUAUUGCAACAUGAAGAACCGUUCUCCCUGAAGACGGAGCCCAAAAUAUGGCAUUGGGUUGAUCUCUCAAGUAUGAGUUUGCACCUUUCCAAUCACCGUUUUUCACAAACUUGUAUAAAGCUUUGUGCUCACUAGUGUUUUCGGAUACAACACCUGUGUGUGUCUCAUCCAAAUUAAAACGUAAAUAAAUAUUUGAAGUUAAUAUUAUGUGUAAAUAUAUACUUUAUAUAAAGAAAAUUUGAAGAUGCAUCUAAACACUUACCGUGCUGAAUAUGAGGUUGGACUUUAAACUCAGAUAUGCAAANUUUAGCCAAGUGAUUCCAAGCUAUGUGGGCAGUUUGGAAGUGUUUAAUUUGAUCGAAAAUGUUUGGUGCACAUGAUAGUUGAAUGAUAUGCAGAGCCUUUGCGUCUUUCCGUGCAUCAAUGGGUGUGGAUGCAGAACCACUCUCCACAACAUCCCACAGAUUUUCCCCUCUCAGAUAAUUUUUCAUUAGAAUUUUCCAUUCUUCAUAGUUGUAUCUUGUGAGUUCUUCACGAACUAUUCCGUGGGAUGCAACACCAAUGUUUUCCAUUGCACUUCCUUGCUUUUCCUUGUUUCCCAUCCUUUAUAUAAAGGGAGACAAGAACAUAAUUCUCUUUUCAGUUUUUAGUAUGCUGAAUUGUUCAAGUGAAGGAUAUUUUUGUACAUUUCUCAAAAAUGAGUUUUUUAUCCUCUGAAGAUUUGGUAAACUUCAAAUAGUUUGAAGUUGGUUGUACCAAACGCUGCAUAAAGAAAAUCUAGUGUUUUUCUACGGAUUUUGUAUGUUAUCUGUGUUUUGUUAUCUCCUUUAAAUUUAUGAAAAUUAAAAAAUAGAUUAAAUAUAUUAUUAUGAUUUAUGAAAUUGAAUGAUUUUCGUUGAUAAAAAUAAUUUAAAAUAAAUGUAACUAGAAUAUAUAAGUUAUCUUAAAAUUAAAUAAUUGUUAGUGAUUAAUUUAAAUUAAGUUAAGUAAUAAUUUUAUAUUUGAAAUUGUUAUUAUUUCAUAAUUUUACUAUUCGUAUCAUAUUUUUAUAUAUUUUAUAAUAUUAUUAACAUAUGUUUAAUAUUAUUUAUUUUUAUUUAUGUAUAUUUAGUAUUAUUAUUAUUAUAUUAUAUUUGUUUACAUAAGUUAAGGUUAAAAGAAGCAUUUAAUAAUUUGUUGUACUGCUUCCUGUGCUGAUUAAAGAUUCACAUUGCUACUAAAUUUACUAACCUUACCAAUGACGUGGACAUAUAUUAUAAUUUAUUUUAUAUUAAAGCAAGCAUGAAUGUGUGUGCUCGGUGUUCACAUUAAUGUUCACAUUAAAGCAAGCAUAAAUAUUAUAAAUAUUUAUGGCUAAAAUAAGAUAUAAUACAAAAACAGAUUGAUUUUUGUUUUCUAUUUUUAAUCAAUUAAACUGAACUAUGUAAAAAAAAUAUAUCUAUAGAGCUAUCAUUAUUAACUCUCAUUUUUGUUUUAAUAAUAAUUUUUUAAUACAAAAUAAAAAUAUGACGACCAAAACUAAAUCCAACAAACAUGUAUUUGCACUUGAAUUAAGAAAAGUUUUCACACCUGCCCGUUUUUUCCAUACUAUAGAAAGGAUUAGUUAAUAGAAGAUAAGUCUAUGCUAUUUUUAUACAUAUUUUUAAUUGACUUGACCAGUCAAAUAUGCAUCAUACAUCCUUUUCUAUUAGUAGUGAAAAUUCCCAGGAGAAUAAAUUGUCACCGGAAAAGAUACAAAAGCAAAGAGUAAAAGAAAUUCAAUAAAAAAAAUUGAGAGAAGAAGAAAGAUAAAAUAUAAGAAAAAGUAUAUUUGAAUCUUGAAUAAAAAAGCAUAUUUAAACGGGGAGACUUCAUAUCAAACAGAAAUAAUAUGACUUUUUAAUAUGUAAGAAAAUAUAUAUUUUUUUCAAUCUAAUAUUAUGUUAAAAAAUAAUUUUAUAUUUUCUUAGAUAUUAUAAAAGUCAUAGUAGAUUAUUGAAAAAGACUGAAAAAGACGCAGGUUUUAUUAUGAUUCUUAAAUCACUAGCCAUUAUAAUAAAUUAAAAGCGGUGAUAUUUUUAAAAUAAAAUUCAAAAUAUAUUAUGUUAAAUAAUAAAUUACCUGUGAUAGAAUCUAAAUCCUUUAAUUCUAUUUUUUAGUAUCUUUUCAUUCUUUUGUAUGACGUUUUUUUUUCUUAAUUUUACAUUCUUCUCACAUUGUAUCGUAAUGACUAUUAGUGCAGUUAAGAGAAACGAUAACGAUUAUUUUGAUUAUUUGGUAACAGUUCUUGAGCUUAAGUAUAUCUAGAUGAGGCAAAAACUAUAAACUUUUAUAUUUUGGUUCAUAACUGAGGUAAAAAGGUGGACGAUUUCACUUCGGUUCAAAGUCAACCAAAGUACUAUUUGUUUUUCUUUUAAUUUUUUUUCGCAGGACUUUAUGUCUCGGUUCCCUUUGAACUGAGACAGUUAUUGUCUCGGUUGGGACCUGAACCGAGACAGUAUGAUUCUUUUUUUUCUUCUUUAGCCAGUUUUAUGUCUCGGUUGGGGUCUGAACCGAUGUCGUAAGAGGUUUUUUUGUCUCGGUUAUGGUCACAAUCGAGACAUAUUCUCCUGUUUUUUUUUUUUAAGAGCAGGUCUAUUUCUGCAACAUUCUCAACCUACAUAUAAUUUUAUAGUUAGAACAAUCCAUAAGCAUAUAUUUUGAAUAAAAAUUAUAUCAAAACAUAAAUACAUUCAAUGUAAUCAUAAAUCAACUUCUUAAAACAUAAAUCAAUCUAAUGUAAUCAUAAAUCAACUUUGAAACAUAAAUCAAUCUAAUGUACAAAAUUAAACUAAUAAUAAUGUACAAAAAUAUAAAACAACUUAGAAACAUAAACUUAGAAUUUACUAUAUCCUAAAAUCUACUACAUACUAUUAUAUAAUUGAAUUACAUAUUUAACCAGUGUUUCUUCACAAGUUGAAGUGUCUUCUCUGAAAUUGAAACAAUCACAUUAAAUCUUUACAUAAAACACAAUAAUUUUAAUUAAUGUAUAUAAAUUCUAAAUUAUGAAAACAAUAAAAUUCAAACCUAAAUAUUUUCGUUUACCAUACGGUGUAAUCCACCAAUUAUUGUUUAUGUUAUAACUUCUAAAACACAUGCACUUGUGACCCAUCAAUAAUAUUAAUGUAUGAGGAAGGUGCCUUGUAACACAAUGGAAAAGAAAGUCAAUAAAAACCAUAUCUGUCAACUUAGACUACUAUCAACAUUCUCAAAUCUUAAGUCACCAUGUGGCCUCCUUACACGAAUAACAUAUAGACAAAUCAGAAACAUAUACAGAUAGAGAGAACAUUUUCAACUAAUUCAAUCCUAACAAUUCAAAAUUAUUAAACCUAAUUCGAAAUUAUAUAAACCAGUUAAUACAAAUUAUAUAACUCAAAUUAUAUAACAAAUCAUAUUACAAAAGCUUUCUAGGAAAAAGAAGACCCACAAUUUACAUAGGUCAAGGUUAAAAGAUGCAUUUAAUAAUUUGUUGUACUGCUUCUGUGCUAAUUAAAGAUUCAUUGCUACUAAAUGUACUAACCUUACCAAUGAAGUGGACAUAUAUUAUAAUUUAUUUUAUAUUAAAGCAAACAUGAAUGUGUGUGCUCGGUGUUCACAUUAAAGCAUAAAUAUUAUAAAUAUUUAUGGGUAAAAUAAGAUAUGAUACAAAAACAGAUUGAUUUUUGUUUUCUAUUUUUAAUCAAUUAAAUUGAACUAUGUAAAAAAUAUAUCUAUAAAGCUAUAAUUAUUAACUCUCAUUUUUGUUUUAAUAAUAAUUUUUUAAUACGAAAUAAAAAUAUAGACCAACUAAAUCCAUCAAACAUGUGUUUGCACUUGGAAUUAAGAAAAGUUUUCACAUCUCUCAGUUGUUUCCCAUACUAUAGAAAGGAUGGGUCAAUAGAAGAUACGUCUGUGCUAUUAUUAUACAUAUUUUUAAUUGACUUGACCCGUCAAAUAUGCAUCAUAGUUCCUCUUUUUUUAGUAGUGAAAAUUUCGAGGAAAUUAAAGGGUCGUGUCACUUUCACAAGAAAAGACACAAGCAAAUGGUACAAUGAUGUUGAAGUUUUUCUUUUUUACCUGGAAAAGAAAUUCAAUAAAGAAAUAAAAGAGAAGAAAAAGGAUAAAAUAUAAAAAGAAAAUUGAAUAUAAUAUAAAAGAGUAAAACGGGUAGAUUUCAUAUUAAUAAAAAAUAAUAUAAUUUUAUAUCAUGAUUAAGAACUGAAUUGUAAAUCUAACUUUAAUUUAUGAUUUUUAUAUUAUAUUAAAAAAAUACUUACAUCAAUAAUAUAUAUUAAAUAGAAAUUCAUUUAAAGAAUUGAUAUUGUAAAAUUAAAUUAAAAAAUUGAGUUAGGUUUAAUCUUUAAUUUUUUAACAUAGUAUUAAAUUGAAAAAAAUUAUAUUAAAAACUCUUUUGUAUCACUUUUCAUUAACAUAAAAUUGUUAUUUCAUUAGAUUUUGAUAAAAAAAUCUUAUUUAAUUUUUAAAAAUUAAUUGUAAAAGUAUAAUUUUUAUAAACAUUCCCCUCCUAAUUUUAUCGCAACUUAAAAGAUUAAUGUUAUUAAUAAAUUUAAUAUUUUCAUUUAUGGACUAAUAUAUAGCUUGUUUUUUAAAACUGUAGUAGGGUGACACUUCUACAUUCAAAAUACAGAAAAUAUUUUAUUUAUUCAUUGCAAUAUAUAUAUAUAUAUAUAUAUAUAUAUAUAUAUAUAUAUAUAUUUUGUUAUUUACUCAACCAUUUUUUACGAUAAAUAUCGUAUUCUACCUAAAUAAUGAUAAAAUCGAAAUCGGAUACUCUGUAUAGGUAAAAAUUUAGAUUUAAAAACAUGAUAAUGUUAAAUAAAAUAAAUCAUUCGUCUAUUUAACAACGUAUUCUAUUCAAAUUCCUUAUGGAUAUACCUAUUUGUAUUUGAUAAUUUUGAAAUAUAAAUGAUGAAUGCUAUAAAUCAAUACUAUUAUCAAUAUAGAAGUGGUUAAAAUCUCCAAAAUAAAAUUUCACUAUUUUAUAUUAAUAUUGUUAAGAUAUACUAAAUAUUCUAUUAACAAAUAUUAGACAAUUAAAUAUUAUGUUAGUUCUAAUUUAUAUAUUAUUUUAAUUUUUAGAAAUUUGUAUACUUAUCAUGAAUUUAUAUAUAUAUAUAUAUAUAUAUAUAUAUAUAUAUAUAUAUAUAUAUAUAUAUAUAUAUACCGUACAGUACCCCAGGGACCGUACGGUCUCCUAGGCACCUCCAGGCCGAUCAUCCAGGCCGACCAUUCGAGUCACCAAGCCGGCCAUCUGGGUCACCGGGCCGAUCAUCCAGGCCGAUCAUCCGGGUCACCAGGCCGAUCAUCUGGGUCACCAGGCCGAUCAUCCAAGCCGACCAUCCGGGUCACCAGGCCGAUCAUCCGGGUCACCAGNNNNNNNNNNNNNNNNNNNNNNNNNNNNNNNNNNNNNNNNNNNNNNNNNNNNNNNNNNNNNNNNNNNNNNNNNNNNNNNNNNNNNNNNNNNNNNNNNNNNNNNNNNNNNNNNNNNNNNNNNNNNNNNNNNNNNNNNNNNNNNNNNNNNNNNNNNNNNNNNNNNNNNNNNNNNNNNNNNNNNNNNNNNNNNNNNNNNNNNNNNNNNNNNNNNNNNNNNNNNNNNNNNNNNNNNNNNNNNNNNNNNNNNNNNNNNNNNNNNNNNNNNNNNNNNNNNNNNNNNNNNNNNNNNNNNNNNNNNNNNNNNNNNNNNNNNNNNNNNNNNNNNNNNNNNNNNNNNNNNNNNNNNNNNNNNNNNNNNNNNNNNNNNNNNNNNNNNNNNNNNNNNNNNNNNNNNNNNNNNNNNNNNNNNNNNNNNNNNNNNNNNNNNNNNNNNNNNNNNNNNNNNNNNNNNNNNNNNNNNNNNNNNNNNNNNNNNNNNNNNNNNNNNNNNNNNNNNNNNNNNNNNNNNNNNNNNNNNNNNNNNNNNNNNNNNNNNNNNNNNNNNNNNNNNNNNNNNNNNNNNNNNNNNNNNNNNNNNNNNNNNNNNNNNNNNNNNNNNNNNNNNNNNNNNNNNNNNNNNNNNNNNNNNNNNNNNNNNNNNNNNNNNNNNNNNNNNNNNNNNNNNNNNNNNNNNNNNNNNNNNNNNNNNNNNNNNNNNNNNNNNNNNNNNNNNNNNNNNNNNNNNNNNNNNNNNNNNNNNNNNNNNNNNNNNNNNNNNNNNNNNNNNNNNNNNNNNNNNNNNNNNNNNNNNNNNNNNNNNNNNNNNNNNNNNNNNNNNNNNNNNNNNNNNNNNNNNNNNNNNNNNNNNNNNNNNNNNNNNNNNNNNNNNNNNNNNNNNNNNNNNNNNNNNNNNNNNNNNNNNNNNNNNNNNNNNNNNNNNNNNNNNNNNNNNNNNNNNNNNNNNNNNNNNNNNNNNNNNNNNNNNNNNNNNNNNNNNNNNNNNNNNNNNNNNNNNNNNNNNNNNNNNNNNNNNNNNNNNNNNNNNNNNNNNNNNNNNNNNNNNNNNNNNNNNNNNNNNNNNNNNNNNNNNNNNNNNNNNNNNNNNNNNNNNNNNNNNNNNNNNNNNNNNNNNNNNNNNNNNNNNNNNNNNNNNNNNNNNNNNNNNNNNNNNNNNNNNNNNNNNNNNNNNNNNNNNNNNNNNNNNNNNNNNNNNNNNNNNNNNNNNNNNNNNNNNNNNNNNNNNNNNNNNNNNNNNNNNNNNNNNNNNNNNNNNNNNNNNNNNNNNNNNNNNNNNNNNNNNNNNNNNNNNNNNNNNNNNNNNNNNNNNNNNNNNNNNNNNNNNNNNNNNNNNNNNNNNNNNNNNNNNNNNNNNNNNNNNNNNNNNNNNNNNNNNNNNNNNNNNNNNNNNNNNNNNNNNNNNNNNNNNNNNNNNNNNNNNNNNNNNNNNNNNNNNNNNNNNNNNNNNNNNNNNNNNNNNNNNNNNNNNNNNNNNNNNNNNNNNNNNNNNNNNNNNNNNNNNNNNNNNNNNNNNNNNNNNNNNNNNNNNNNNNNNNNNNNNNNNNNNNNNNNNNNNNNNNNNNNNNNNNNNNNNNNNNNNNNNNNNNNNNNNNNNNNNNNNNNNGGCCUCAACUGCUCGGCCAUUCGGCCUCACAGGUACUUAGCCAAAUCUGACAUCUAGAUUUCGGCCCUUCGGCCUCAACUGCUCGGCCAUUCGACCUCACAGGUACUUAGCCACAUUUGACAGCAAGAAUUCGGCCCAUCAGCAAAUUUUGCUCGGCCCUUCGGCCUCAAUCAUCCGGCUCUUUGGACAAUCGUGAAUCUUCAACAAAAAGAGUCCCGGCCGGCCUUUCCGAAGGUCGGCGACCGUGGAUCUUCAACAAAAAGAAUCCCGACCGGCCUUUCCGAAAGUCGGCGACCGUGGAUCUUCAACAAAAAGAACCCCGGCCGGCCUUUCCGAAGGUCGGCUACCGUGGAUCUUCAACAAAAAGAGUCCCGGCCGGCCUUUCCGAAGGUCGGCGACCGUGGAUCUUCAACAAAAAGAAUCCCGGCCGGCCUUUCCGAAGGUCGGCGACCGUGGAUCUUCAACAAAAAGAACCUCGGCCGGCCUUUCCGAAGGUCGGCGACCAUGGAUCUUCAACAAAAAGAACCCCGGCCGGCCUUUCCGAAGGUCGACGACCGUGGAUCUUCAACAAAAAGAAUCUCGGCCGACCUUUUCGAAGGUCGGCGACUGGAUCUUACACAAAAAGAAUCCCGGCCGGCCUUUCCGAAGGUCGACGACCGUGGAUCAACAACAAAGGAACCUCGGUUGGCCUNAUCGAAGAUCUCCACAACAUCACUUAAGCAGGAUCAGUGGCCCGUCCACUCAUCAACAAGAAGAGGCGACUCAAAGGCAAAAGCAAACCAAGCCACUCGACCUUUCCAGGAGAGCCACAUACUAAAACCCAUCGCAUCAUUGACAUAAUGCUCGGGCUUGGGGGGCUGAUGUACCGUACAGUACCCCAGGGACCGUACGGUCUCCUAGGCACCUCCAGGCCGAUCAUCCAGGCCGACCAUCUGGGUCAACCACCAGGCCGACCAUCCGGGUCACCAGGCCGAUCAUCCAGGCCGACCAUUCAAGUCACCAAGCCGGCCAUCUGGGUCACCGGGCCGAUCAUCCAGGUCGAUCAUCCGGGUCACCAGGCCGAUCAUCUGGGUCACCAGGCCGAUCAUCCAAGCCGACCAUCCGGGUCACCAGGCCGAUCAUCCGGGUCACCAGGCCGAUCAUCNAGGCCGACCAUUCGGGUCACCAAGCCGGCCAUCUGGGUCACCGGGCCGAUCAUCCAGGCCGAUCAUCCGGGUCACCAGCCGAUCAUCUGGGUCACCAGACUGAUCAUCCAGGCCGACCAUCCGAGUCACCAGGCCGAUCAUCCAGACCGACCAACCACCAGGCCGACCAUCCGGGUCGACGAACCAGCAGGUCGACCACAUGGACAUAUUAUAAACGAUAAUAAUUGAUUAAAGUCCCUAAUGGAGGUUAAGGUGUGAUUGGGCCGUCAUCAAGCCCACGAAAGGUAAAAGCCCAUUACAACUAGUAUAAAUAAAGGUCUCAGGUAUGAUUUUGGGACACGAUAUAUAUUAUGCACACUACAUGCAUCUCUUAUAUUGACGACCGUUCGGUCACUUUUACUGACUUGAGCAUCGGAAUGCCUUUGGCAGGUACCCGCCCCCGCCCGGCUUGGAGAAGAAGGAAGGAGGGAGAAUGAACCACCUUGAGUUUGAAGAGAACCCUGACGACCGUCCGGCCUCCAGCAAGUCCCCGUCAGGAAUGUUAUAAGGGACCUCCAAACCCGACCGAAACAAUAUAUAUAUAUAUAUAUAUAUAUAUAUAUAUAUAUAUAUAUAUAUAUAUAUAUAUAUAUAUAUAUAUAUAUAUAUAUAUAUGAUAUUCUAUUUUUUGAAAUAAUACAUGAGAAAUAUUCUUUAAACUUUUUUUAAUAUGGUAUUAAGAGUCAAACACUUGAUAUCCUCUAUAAUAUAGAAAUUCAUGUUUCUUUUUUUUUCAUUGAAUAUUUCUGAUGACUUCUUCCGAUGAAAAUCAACCAGAUAAACAUGAUUAUGAAACUUUCGCGGCUUCCAAGAGUUAUGGAUUUGUGACCAAGUCAGGUAUAUCUAACUCUGCCCUUAAUCUUUCUUGUUAGGUUAAAAGCUCUUUUUGGUCCCAGUUUUGGUUGGGAAAAUUCGAAAUGGUCCCUGGGUUUAUUUUGUGUUCAAUUUCGUCCCAAAGAACGAAUUUGGUGUUCAAUUAAGUCCUUUUUAGUAACUCCGUUAAAAUUCUUAACUGCAACGUGUCCAGAUGUGCAACUGUUGAGUGAGGUGUCAGGUUUUUUGCUGACUGGGAAUCCUUUUCAGUUGGAAUCAGAAUUUUAGAAGGACAAAGUGGGCAGAAAGGGGUUUGCCCCGUGAGAGCGCGCCACGUGUCCGCUCCCUUUCCACCCAAAAUUAGGAUUCAGAUUUGGGAAAGAGGGGUUUGCCCUUGGUGUGCCUGCGCAAAUCAAAAAAUGCUGGAGGCUGCCACGGUGGUUUCCGUUUCUCCUUUUGGGUUUGUUUUUUGCAGGUGCGAGAUGCGACAGUGAUGGAGGUGCGAUGGUGAUGUCUAGGUUGCGCGUGACGAAGGCCGGGUGGCUUGCGUUGGAGAGGAUCAAACCUGUGAGGCACGACGGCGCGACGAGAAUGGUCGAGGCGAGACCGUGAUGGUUGUGUGAUUUUGGUUUGCUUGCAGGUGCGAGAUAUGAAGAAGAAGCUUCAAGGUGGCGGCUUGGUGGUAGCAGCAGCCAUGAAUGUGUGUUGAAGCUGAGUUGCAGAUGUGUUCAUGGCAGAGAAGAUGAAGAUCCCUUUCCACCCAAAAUUAGGGUUCAGAUUUAGGGAAAAGGGCACAUGAAGUGGAAUUGGAAAAUGCUGGAGGCUGCCACGGUGGUUCCCGUUUCUGCCUUUGGGUUUGUUUUCUGCAGGUGCGAGAUGCGACGGUGAUGGAGGUGCGAGGGUGAUGUAGGUGCGAGGGUGAUGGAGGUGCAAUGGUGAUGAAGGUGCGACAGUGAUGGAGGUGCGAGGUGCGAGGUGCGAUGGUUGCUGACGGCGUGCGAGGAAGAAGAUGAUGGACGGUGGUCGGUGGUCGACGGUUGGGGUUUGGGAAUUAGGGUUUCAGAGGAAGAAGAAAGUCUUUCUUUUUUUCCCACUUUGCCCUUCUAAAUUUUUUAAAAAAUCCUAAUUCCAACUGAAAAGGAUUUCCAGUCAGCAAAAAACUGACACCUCACUCAACAGUUGCAUAUCUGGACACGUUGCCGUUAAGAAUUUUAACGGAGUUACUAAAAAGGACUUAAUUGAACUCCAAAUUCGUUCUUUGGGACGAAAUUAAACACAAAAUAAACCCAGGGACCAUUUCGAAUUUUCCCAACCAAAACUGGGACCAAAAAGAGCUUUUAACCUUCUUAUUACUAAGGAUAGUAAAUAGAUAAUUGAUUCACGUAUUAUUGAUCAUAUGACUUGUGAUCGUCAUAUAUUUACUAAUUUUUCCUAUAAUUGUUAUAAAACUGUUAUUAUUAAUGCCAAUGGGGUCUCAUCUCCUAUUGAAGGUAUAUGUAUUGUAACACUCUCACCCUUGAUGUUUUAUUUGUUCCUUAAACUGUAAUCUUAUCUUCGUCAGCAAGUUAACCAAAUCUCAUUCUUGUUUUGCCUUGUUUUAUCCAACCCAUUGUCUUUUUCAGAACAUUCAUUCCAAGGAGAAGAUUGUCAAUGGUAGAGAGAGUGAAUGACUAUAUUAUCUUGAAAAUGUCUCACAACAAACCCAUAAAAGAGGGUUGAUUUGUCUUGCGAAUGAUCACAUACAAGAUAAAAUUAUUUCCAUCACUAUUUCAUAAAUGCAAUAUUUCUGAUUUUUUUUGUGAAACUUGUGUUAUGGUAAAAAAUUAUCGUGUUGUAUUUCCUUUAAGCAAUAACAAAUCUGAUUUUCCUUUUUCAUUAAUUCACACAGAUGUUUGGGGCCCUGUCCCACAAUCUACACAUAAUGGAAAAAAUGGUUUAUCAAUUUUGUUGAUGAUUGUAUUCGGGUAACGUGGGUAUAUUUGCUUAAACAUAAAAGUGAGGUGUGUGAUGGGGUUCGUUUCUUCUAUCAUCUGAUCGUUACACAAUUUAACACAUCUAUUAAGGUUAUUCGAUCAAACAAUGGAGGGGAAUAUUUUAAGACUGAAUUAACAGAGUUCAUGAACUCUAAAGGCAUCUUGCAUCAAAUUACAUCUCCUUAUUCACUUUUGAUAAAUGGUAAUGUCCCAUCUCAUUUAUGAGGUGAGGUUGUGAGCUCUACUGUUUAUUUAAUUAAUCGGACCCCUUAUAGUGUGCUUAACUUUCGAAGGCCUUUUGAUAUAUUGUCUGAUCAUUGUAUCCUUCCUCCCAUAGUUUUUUACCACCUCAUAUUUUUGGAUGCGUUAUAUAUAUUCACUUACACCCACAUCAACAUACAAAGCUUGAAGAACGCGAGAUCAAAUGUGUUUUUGUUGGGUAUAGAUCAACUAAAAAAGGUUAUCGUGCUUAACAUCCACCAUAAAAGAAAUUUUAUAUUUCUAUGGAUUUGAAUGAGCAUGGAUUUUUUUAUGUUGAUUCUCCACUCUAGGGAGACAAUGAAAGUAAAGUGCAUAAUCAUGAUGUUAGUAUGUUUGAUUGUAAAGAUAAAUUAUCGUGAGGAUCAUUCUGCAAGAAGUGAGCCAAUCCUAAAUAUGGACACUUAUUUUCUGGAUAAUAUUUUGAUCAUAACCAAUUGGCUCAAUCUUCUCCGCAGGUUCAACUUGACUCUUUAGAGGUACCUUCUGAUCUUAUCUUUAGUAAUACUACUUUAGAUGAAAUUAAUAAUGUAAUUGAUUAUUGUCUGCGUGAGACCACCAACACACAUGCAUGAAACAUUCAUCAAUUCAAAUAAACCAUCCAAAAUUAACUAUCAAAAUGGUAUUUAAGCAUCAAAAGCAGGAAAUCAAGUUGGGGGAUUCAAGAUAGUAUAUGAGCACCAAAAUUAAGGAAGGCAAAUAGAAGAGGACAAACUUUACCUACCUGGAAAUGAUGAACUCUUGGACACUUGAGUGCAGCCCUUCAACAAUCAGACUUUUGCAACCAACUUGAACCCACUGUGUUCGAAGCUUCAAAAAGUUUUGUGCCUCAGCCCUUGAUCGAAAGCCUAAAACCGUGUACAAUAACGAACAAUUUUAAUUACCAAAAUGCAGGAAUUACAAAACGCAGCAAUAACGAACAAUUUUAAAUAGCAAAACGCAGCAACCCUACCUCCACACGUAGCGACAACCCUACGUCCUCACGCCGCAAUACCACCAUCCUCCCGCCGCCACUAUUUACCAACUUAACGAACAAUUUUAAAUAGCAAAACAUAAUGCACUGAGUUAAAACUCAACAUAUUCACUAUUUAUCAACUUAACAUCAGAUUUAUAGUCAAUUAAAGUCCUUGACAAGUUUGUAAUGAUAUGAAAAUAGCUCCCUAACAUCUUAUGGUUCCAAAAUGACUCUUUUAAAAAUUCACCUACCAAAGCUUCAGUUUAUACCAAAAACCAGUCCAAUAACAUUUCCUUUUCACUAUAUACCUUUUAUAACUUCAAACAACUUCAUCAUACGUUCAAACAAGCAUCAUUUAACAAACAUACAUCUCAUACUCUAUUAAACAUAAUUACAUGCAUAUGCUGAAAGGUAAAUCUAGUGAGAUUCUUUCACAAGAUCAAAUACAAACACAGUAACACAUGAAACCAAAUAUCUAACCUUCAUACAAAGAAAAAGAACAUCCUGUGAUGCAAUAACAAAACAAAAACUUAUAGAUUUUGUUCUAGAAUCUCAAAACUCAUGAACUAGAUUUUCACUUUCAGUGUUCAUAACCUGUGUUUGGUCUAUCUCUUUUAAUACAUUUUCUAACUGACCACAAAAUUCUUAUGACCUAAUCAGCAUGCUAGAGAUAAGAUAUUUAAAUUUUGAUCCUAGACUUUGCACUUGUUUGCUCUGUAUUCAAACUUAUCUAACUUCACUCAGAUAAAGCUCAAAAUAAGCAAUGAAAAAAUUAAUCAAAUCUUACAAAACAUCAAUAUUCUCAUAACCUUAUAUAUGCAUACAAAAGAGAAUGAUAAUGUAUCUUUGGUGGCAGGAAAUUGAAGCCGAAUUGAAGUUGAAACAAGUUCAAGAAUUAGAAAAGGCAGAGUUAAAUGACAAUGUGAAUGAAAUUUUGUGGAACUUACCUCAACCAAGAUAGCCCUUGACGAGCAUGACAACACCAGCCCUCAACGUCGACACCACCAGCCCUCAACGCAGCAACCACCCCACGAUGAACCCUAGCCCAAGACUCCCCAAACCAGCACGCACAGUGAAAGAACUGUGACCAACGAACCCUAGCCCAAGACCACCGUCAACGACUACCAGCAGUGACUAACCAAGAAAGUCACGGAGCUUGAUGAAAGGGAGGGAAGUGAAGAAAGGGAGAGACAGAUGAAAGCGACGAAGUGUAGAAAAUGAAAUUGGGGAACGAAAACCCCAAUUCGAGGUUAAAUCACUGAUGAACUUACCGAUGGCUCAAAAGCCUUCGGUAAUCACCUCAAUACCGGCGGCUUCAAAGCCUUCGGUAAUAAGCCCUUGGUAAAUCCAGCUUUUCUUGUAACCAAACAUUAAGUAUACUAUUGUUCAAUAUAUUCUUCUACCUCCUUCUAACUGUGGUCAACCUCCAACUAAAUAUGAACCAGACCUUCAAGCCAAAGUUAAAUAUCCCAUUAGUAAAUAUGUGUCAUCUCAUAGGUUAUCAUAUCCAUAAUUUGUAUUCUUCAAUUUUUAUUCCUAGUAAUAUACAGGAAGCUUUGGCAGAUCCUAGAUGGACCGAAGCAAUAGUUGAGGAGAUGGCAGCUUUAGAGAAAAACAACAUUUCAAAUCUUGUACCCUUACCAAGAGGGAAGAAAACCAUGGGUUGCAAAUGGGUCUUUACAAUUAAGCAUAAAGCCGAUGGAACUAUUGAGAAGUAUAAAGCACGACAUGUGACUAAAGGUUACACUUAGUCUUAUGGUGUAGAUUACCAAGAGACCUUCACACCAGUAGCCAAGCUCAAUAUUGUGAGAAUACUUUUGUCGCUAGCUGCAAACCAAGAUUGACCUCUUCUACAUUUUGAUGUGGAAAAUGCUUUCCUACAUGGAGAAAUUUCAAAAUGAAUUUAUUUGGAUUCUCCACUAGGCAUGACAUAUUCAAUUGGAAUGAAGGUUUGAAAAUUAAAGAAGGCUCUAUAUGGAUUAAAACAAUCCCCAAGAACAUGGUUUAAAAGGUUUACCAAGUCUAUGAAGGCUUUUGGCUAUAGAGCAAGUAACUUUGAUCACACCUUAUUUUUGAAGAGAAGAAAAAGAAAAAUUACAGCUUUAAUUAUAUAUGUAGAUGACAUGAUUGUUACAGGAAAUGACCAAGAUGAGAUUUCUAGUUUACAACAAUACCUUGCAUCUGAAUUUGAGAUGAAACAACUUGUAAACCUCAAAUAUUUUUUGGGUAUUGAAGUAGCUAGAUCAAAACAUGGUAUAUUUCUAUGCCAAAGAAAAUAUUCUAUAUUGAUUUACUAUCGGAAACUGGGCUGCUUGGGAGUAAACCAACUGAUACACCAAUUGAAAAAAAUCAUAAAUUCUUUCAAUGCUCAAAUUCAACAAGCAUAGACGGAGGAAGAUACCAAAGGCUGGUGCAAAAAUUGAUAUAUUUGUGUCAUACACAUCCUGAUAUCACCUAUGCAAUGAAUGUUGUUAGUCAAUUUUUGCAUAAUCCAUGAAAGCUUCAUAUGGAUGCUGUUGAGAGGAUUUUGAGAUAUUUAAAGUUUGCUCGUAGAAAAGAAAUUUUGUUCUUAAAUUAUGGAAACUUAAAUGUAGAAGGGUAAACUGGUGCAGAUUGAGCAGGUUCAAAAGAUGAUAGAAGAUCUACCUCUGGAUACUUUACUUUUGUAGGAGGGAAUCUUGUAACCUGGAGGAGUAAAAGCAACUUGUAAUAGCAAGAUCUAGUGCUGAAGCAGUAUUCGGAGGCAUGACACUAGGUGUAUGUGAACUUUUGUGGAUUAAAAAUGUGCUUUCAGAUUUGAGAUUUAAACCAAAUGAAGCUAUGACUUUGUAUUGUGACAAUACUUCGGCUAUAGCAAUUGCUCACAAUCCUGUGCAACACGAUAGAACAAAGCAUGUGGAGAUUGAUAGACAUUUCAUCAAAAAGAAGAUUUUAGUCGGAAUAUUUUUUUUUCCUUUUGUAAUAUCAGAAUUGUAGUUAACUAAUGUUCUUACCAAAAGAGUGUCAAGAAGAUUGUUUAAUGAGUCUCUAUUCAAGUUGGGAAUGUGUGAUAUUCAUGCACCAACUUGACUGGGGUGUUAAAAUAUGUCAAAUAUUCUAUUAACGAAUCUUAAACAAUCAAAUAUUACGUUAGUUAUAAUUUAGAUAUUAUUUUAAUUUAUGCAUAUUUGUGUCUUUAUCAUUCCUUUAAUAAAUGAAGAAUUAAUAUAUAUAUAUAUAUAUAUAUAUAUAUAUAUAUAUAUAUAUAUAUAUAUAUAUAUAUAAAUUAUUCUACUCUUUGAAAUAAUACAUCAUUAUUAUUCUUUAAACUUUUUAAUAAAUAUAUUUUCAAUAUCAUAUUUUUUAUCAUUAAUAGAGAAUUGAUGAAUAUAAAGGUAUUUAGAAUGUUGUAAUACUUUUAAAACCCAUAAGAAAAUAUAAAAUUACAAACACAAAAGAUCAUUUAACAUAUUCCAAAUCAUAAAAUAGAAAAAGUAUGUUGGUAGCUGUAAUCCUAUACACACAUUCCCUUUUAUAGACAAAAAAAAAUUGUCUUAUUUCCUUCGGUGUAAUGUCUUAUAAUCAUACAUCCUUUAACGGGCAAAAAUAACUGAACUGUACUGUACUGUAGUUAAUAUUAAAAAUAACUUAUCCACUUUUACUAACAUACUAUUUUAACAGUUACAUUUCAGUUAACUGUGAGAACUGUAUCUACUCUUACAUAUUCUCUAAUUUCAGUUCAACGGUUUCGUUUUGUCAAAAAAACUUUAUUUAAUAAUAAAAUAUUAAUAAAAAAAAUUGUUCACAUAAAAAAAUAAUUAAUUUUUUAAGACAACUUUUUUAUAACAAAAUUUAUAUUUUUUAUCAAUAAAAAUAAAAAAUGUAAUUUAUAUUUUUAUAUUUUUUAAGUUAUAUAUAUAAAUAUAUAUAUAUAUAUAUAUAUAUAUAUAUUAAAUAUACAUAUAACUUAUAUAUAUAUACAUAUAUACACGUUAUAUAUAUAACGUGUAUAUAUAUAACGUGUGUAUAUAUAUAUAUACACGUUAUAUAUAUAACGUGUACAAUAUAACGUGUAUAUAUGUAUAUGUACACGUAUAUAUAUACACGUUAUAUAGUAUAUACAUUAUAUAACGUGUAUAUAUACACUAUACACAUGUAUAUAUACACGUUAUAUAUAUAUAUAUACAUGUUUAUUGUAGCUGAUGUAAUAUAUAUAUCAGCUACAAUAAACCGUUUUUCCUUUACCAGAAUCGGCAUUCCAGUGUCUUGACGGAGACCCCCUGGGACAGUGAAUAUUGCAGUGAACAUGACAGUUAUAACGAGAACACCCACAAUUGCAAAUGUCCCAGCUGUUUCCUUUAUCCAUUUUUCUCCAUCUUUCAUCAGCUCCUUGUGCGUUUCAAUAAAUAUCUCUUCAGGCUUCUUACCUUCAUCAUUUUUGGCUUCUCUACACUUCACAUGCACAACUUCCUCCACCGCCUGCACUCAUUUCAUUCACGUUAAUGCAUGCAUGGACUAUAUAUUGCACUAGAGAGAGAAAAAACUGAUGAAGAUGAAUGCACCUUAAACCAUUCAACUUCUAUUUUCAUUUGCCAAGCAGCAACAUCUCCGCGAUUCAUAUCAGACAAAGGUCCUAAAUGUGCCGCCAAAUGCAAUAGGUUAUUGCCAAACAUAUCUGUUGAAUAGUUAAUUAUAUCCUUAUUUCCACAUAGAGUAAGCAUGAGUUGGAAGACAUUGCGUUUGCGAUGAAGAACCGCAUACGAAAAUAUGUCUCUUCCAUGAUCGUCCAUUGCCCAUAAGAGGUCAUGGUUAGCCUCCCACAUAGCAUUUAUGAACUCAACAUUUCCAUGUUUUGCUGCUUCCAACAUGGCGUCAUACACAAAAGCAUCCCGCAGUUGUGAACUAUUAAACUUAGGAACAUUAUCUUUGUAGUACCUUAAUAUUUGUAGAAAUUCAUUCUUGUGUCCAAAUAUACUCUCUCUAUUUUUGGAUUUCAAUCCAAAUAAAUUCCUUGCGAAUCCUGAAACAAUGGGAGGGAAAACAAAAUUACUUGUAUGGUUUGGUUUUACUAUCAUUUGAACCAACAAACAAUUUCUGAAUUAACCCUCCUUAAACUCCGUAGACAGAAUUUAUUGCAAUUGAUAAAUCUAAAUAGUUAUCAUUAGUGUAAUUUUAAAUCGAUUAUUACAUUUUUUUAAGUUGUUUGAGUUUGUAUUUUUUUUAAAUAAGAGUUUAAUACGCUAAUCCAAAUUGAUUUGGAAUUCAAAUCAAACAACAAAAAUAUCAUCACAUCUUUAAUUCUUAACAAACAUUAUUUUAAAAUCCAUAUCCACAUAAACGUUUUUAGUUUAUAAACUUUAAUCACAUUUAACAAACAUUAUUUUAAAUUCGAUGACUCAACCAGUUCAACUCAAGAACACAUUAUCAAUUUAAUUUUAAUUAGACACGCUGAAUUAUAUCAAGUCAAAUAAAUAAUCAACUUGGUAGGUUGAAUAGAGCUUGGUUAUUCUCAUAAGUUAAAUUGUAUAAGUUACUAUAUUAUUAGUAUGUAAAUUCAAAAUUGCUUGGUUGAUACACAUAGCAUCAUGGAAUAACAAAAUUAUUUAAAUAUUUUUAUUUCUUAUAAAAUUAUCCAAUUUUAACUUUAAACCUCAUAGAAAAGCAUCAGACUUUCAUUUUCAAACAGUUACUUUUUUUUAGAAUAUUGUUAUGUAGCAUUUGUUAUCAAUAUAAUAUAUUUAGUCAAAUGUGACCUAACAAGGGCAAGUAGCACCGUUUACUGUCCAUGAUAUAAUGUAACAAGGUGAUUUCUUUAAAAAAAAUUAUAAAUCUUUAAAAUAAAUAUUAUUUGCGUACUUUAAAACAAAUUUUAAGAUAAAAAAUAAUUAUUUCAGAUUUUGAUGAAAUUAAGAUUAAGAAACAUUUUACGAAAUUAAAACCAAAAUUUAUUCAUUUUAUAAAGAUUAAACACAAUACACAUUAUAAAAAAUAUUUAAAUAGGAACCAAUUUAAAAAAAAAUUAAUUACUAUUUGAUUAAUUUAGAUAUGAAUUUAAAAACUUAAAAUUAUUGAUAUUUAAAAUAAUCAUUAUUAUAAAUAAAAAUCAUAAUUAGUUUGUGAAUUCCAUUAUAAAUUGAUCCAUUCACAUUACUAAAUGAAUAGUGUCUAAAUGGAUUUCUAAUUAACUAAUGACCAUUUAAACAUUAAUACCUAACUUAUACAUAUAAUACUCUCUAAAAUUAUAAUAUAUAUAUAUAUAUAUAUAUAUAUAUAUAUAUAUAUAUAUAUUGUAAUGUUAUGUGUUUUUCAAUCAAUAUUAGACACUCAUUUGAAAACAGAGACAUAGCUCGAUUUUUUAAAAUUAAUGAUUUUAAUUUAACUUUCCAAAUUAAUACUUUUAGGCGUCAAAAUUCGUUUAAAUCACUUAUAGAUAAUAUUUACAUGUAUGUGAUCCUAUGUAAAUAUGUGAUAAAAGCAACCAGAUGAAUCAAAGGACAAAGCAAUACUUACCCAGCAACUUUUUACCCAUGAGCAUCAUUAUCGAAAUCAAAUCGAUUAAAUUACCUGAAAGAACCAUAAGAAGAAGUUUAAGUCAGUCGCAUAUCUUUUACUUUCUGCUUUACAAUUAUUUUAGCUUAUGUAUUACAUACAUAUAUGCAUAAUUAAGUGAGUUAGAAAUAUAACAGUUACAAUAUUAUACUUAUUUUUUUAUGUUGAAAAAGAGCAGUGUUAACUUGAAAAACUAAUAAUUACUUUUUUAUAUUUGAAUUAUAUUACAAGUAAUUUCAAAGAUCUUAGACUCAAUUGUAAAAUAUGUUCCAAGGUUUCAAUUUCUAUCAAUACUUUUCUCUACAUACUCUGAAGUAUUUAACCUUAUGAUUGGAUGCAAUUAAACUCAAACUUAUGUAACUUCUUUUAUUUUUUGUUUGCUACGUGUGUGAAAUUGUUUACUUUUUUUUUAUUCAAAUGGUAAUUUUUUUAAUCUAGAACUUUUGGGAAAAAGUAGUAGAAAUUACACUAGGAAUAAGUUAAUUGAUAUUAGUUUUUUUUAAUUGUUAGAUUUAAAGAAUAUUUUGUUGUAAUUAUGAAGUAGAUGAUAUUGUAAUAAGUUAGGUUCAGUAUUCGAAUGCAGAAAGAUGAUCUCAUGGUUAAAAUACUAUUUCAAUUAUAAUUUUUCAUUUUUAAAUACACCAUUCUAAUUUAUUGAUAAAUAAUGUUUCAUCAGUUAUUAAAGAGAUUAUGAAAAAGUAAAAAUUCCAUGGAUUGAAUGCUUUCUUCCAAAAAAAAAAACAUAAUUGAGUGGCUAAUUAAUGCUAGAGAAAAAAGAAAGCAUUAGAUAAAAAAGAGGGAAAUCUUACCCUUUUUAAAAAUGUAAACUAUUAUCUGCCAAAGGUCGGCCUGUAAAUGUGCAGAAGGCAUUCGAGCCAAUUCAUUCAAGACGGGUAAGAAUUCAAUGGGCAGUUCCUCGUAAGAUUCAAGCAAUUUCAAAGCCACAUCUGCGAGUUCAAACCAUUCAACCAUUUCAGAAUUAUCUUCUUUUUCCUUAAACAUGCUAUCAAAGAGAAUGAAGGAAACAGAGUAUAUGAAUGUGUGGUUGAUUUGCUUACCGAAUAUAUGCGCUUGGAUGCAUAGUUUCAGCAGCAAAACUCGAUUGUGUGAAGACUGGUGAUGGAUGACAUGGGAAGGAGUUUUAAGGAAAAGGUAACGAGUCAUUCUUUUGCGUCCUGAAUUAGCAGCCAGAAGAAGAGGGAUCUCACCCUCUUUGUUUUCUAUAGCAAGCACUUCUUCGCCACCUUCCACAUUUACCAUACUUGUUGCUAUAUUAACAUUUUCAGUGUAACCAGCAGCAAGAGCAAGAGCAGUAUUACCAUCCUCAUCCUGCAUUUCUACUAAUUGCUUCUUCCCUAAAUACACUAACCCCUCCACAAUUGUCAUGUGUCCUUCUAUUGUUGCAAUAUGAAGAACCGUCCUACCUGAAGGCGGAGUCCAAAAUAUGGCAUUUGGUUGAUCUCUCAAGUAUAAGCUUGUGCCUUCCCAAUCACCGUUUUCCACAAACUUGUAUAGAGCUUUGUGCUCACUGACGUUGGAUACAACAACUGUGUGUAUCUCAUUCACAUUAUGUAAAUAUAUACUUUAUAUAAAGAAAAUCUGAAGAUGAAUCUAAACACUUAGUACCUGGUCGAAUACGCGGUUGGAUUUUAAACUUAGGCCUGCAAACUUCAGCCAAGUGUUUCCAAGCUAUGUGGGCAGUUUGAAAGUGUUUAAUUUGAUCAAAAAUAUUUGGUGCACAUGAUAGUUGAAUGAUAUGCAGAGCCUUUGCGUCUCUCUGUGCAUCAAUGGAUGUCGAAACAGAGCCACUUUCCACAACAUCCCACAGAUUUUCCCCUCUCAGGUAAUUUUUCAUUAGAAUUUUCCAUUCUUGAUAGUUGUAUCUUGUGAGCUCUUCACGAACUAUUCCGCGCGAUGCAACACAAAUGCUUUCCAUUACACUUCCUUGCCUUUCCUUGUUUCACAUCCUUUACAGACAAGAACAUAAUUCUCUUUUUUUGUUGUUAGUAUGCUGAAUUGUUCAAGAGAAGGAUAUUUUUGUACAUUUCUCAAAAAUGACUUUUUCACUCCUCUGAAGACUUGGUAGAUUUCAAAUAAUUUGAAGUUGGUUGUACCAAACACUGCAUAACGAAAAUCUAGCGUUUCUCUAAGGAUUUUGUAUGCUAUUUGUAUUUUGUUAUCUCCUUUAAAUUUAUGAAAAUUAAAGAAUAUAUUAAAUAUAUUAUUUUGAUUUAUUAAAUUGAAUGAUUUUUGCUCCUAAAAAUAAUUUAAAACAAAUUUAAUUAGAAUAAGUUAUGUUAAAAUUAAAUAAUAGUUAGUGAUUAAUUUAAAUAAAUUAAGUAAUAAUUUUAUAUUUGAAAUUAUUAUUAUUUCAUAAUUUUGCUAUUCUUAUCAUAUUUUUAUACACUUCUAUUAUAUUUUUAUAUAUUUUCUAAUAUUAUUAAAAUAUGUUUAAUAUUUUUUAUUAUUAUUUAAGUAUAUUUAGUACUAUUAUUAUAUUAUAUUUGUUUACAUAAGCAAAUCUACUACGAUUUCACAAUUUACGUGUGUUUGGUGAAUAAUCUAUAUUUUAAUUACGUACAUUACGCUUUGAAUUCAUAUAUAUUUUAGUUUAAUUUAUGUUAAACAUGUAUAGAUAAAAAAUUGUUUCAACGAAAUCCAAUAUAAGAAGCAUUUGAUAAUUUGUUGUACAGCUUCAUGUGCUAAUUGAAGAUUCACAUUGCUACUAAAUUUACUAACUUACCAAUGACGCAGACAUAUAUUUUAAUUUAUUUUAUAUUAAAGCAAGCAUAUGACUGAGUGUGCUCCGUGUUCACACUAAUGUGGUCCAGAAAAAAAGUAUUCACACUAAUAUAGUACAGUGCAAAAAUGUUACAGUAAUAAAUUGUUCCACCAUCACAACUUUAUUUCAGAUACAGAGUCCAAAAAACUCCAAAAUGCAAGAUCAUAUAUUUCAAAAACAAAACCAGAACAAGAAAAAGGAAAAAAGAAAGGUUUCCUAGAAUGCCAACCCAAAAAUAGAGAAGAGAGGAAAUAGGAGGGUGUCUUCUUGCACGACAAGAAACUCAAGCUGGGUUUGUUCGAAUAAAAGGUAGUCCAAAAGAUGGAAGGCAAGAGUUUCUAAAACUUUUAGUCCAAAAAAUGGAAGGCAAGAGUUUCUAAAACUCUGAUUAAGGUAAAGAGUAAUUCACCUAAGAUUGCCAUGUAAAGAAUAAUUAGACAGGUCAUUCAAGCUAAAGUGAAAAUUACGCCUUUAGCAUCUUUAACGUUGUAAAAAAAAAAAAACGAACUUGAAUCAUUUUACAAAAUAUGGACCAUCCUGAACAACUCAAAAAUAGAAGGACCACUUUAAAUACAAUUAACAAAACUAAGAGUAUUAAGCCUUAAACAAUUAAGCUGGAUUCUGUAAAAAAAAAAAAAAUAUUUUGAAGUUAUCAUAUUAGUUGUCAUUUUUGUUUUAUACUAGUACAACAUGGGCUUUUUAAAUGUUAUUUCGGACUUUUUAAAUAUGUUAUUUCGGACUUUUUAAAUUUGUUUUAUAACAGACUUAGAUUCGAUAAGUCUGUUGUUGACCAAUAAACUUAAAUUCUAAAUCUGACCACCAGACUUAAACCUUUGUAUAUUUAUAUAUAAAAAUAAGCAAAUUUAAUGUUACUUUUUUAAAUUUUAUUUGUUUAAUCAUGAAAGCAAAAUCUAAAAUAGAACAAAAUUUCAUAAUAAAAUAUAUAUUUCAAAUUGUGCAAUUCAAAUACAUAAUAUAAAAUUUCAAAAUCCAAAUAAACAAAUAAGAUGUCUAACUUAAAAUUUGUAGUUUAACUUAAUCUCUUAAGUCUAAGUAACCUAAAAAAACUUAAAUAAUAUCUAAUAAAAAACAAAACUUAAAUAACAACUAAUCAAAGCCUAAUCUUCGGGUUGAAGGGAAAUAACUUUGUAGACUUCAUGCACUUGUCAUAAGUCUGCCUAUUGCCAUGUAAAAAAGGAAAAUUAAAUAUAAUAAAUAAUAUAAUAAAAUGAAGAAAUGUACAAUAAAAAAAUUAAGAUAUUUAUUUAUAUUUUUUUUCACAAUUAUCCUUUUUAGUACUAAAGCUCCUUCUUAUUGUUUCUCUUAAUUAUUAAGUUGCCAAAUAUUAUAUUUCAUCUUUGAAUAAAUAAAAGAAAGGAAAAUAAAAUAAAAUUCCUAUUUGGUGAAUGAACUAAUAUGGUCAUGAAUAAAAUCUCAAUUCUAUCUAUGUAAUAAGAAAAUCUUUCACACACACACAUAUAUAUAUAUAUAUAUAUAUAUAUGUGUGUGUUUUUUUGUGUGAAGUAACUUAAAGCACCAAUAUACAAAUUUGGUCUAUAAUUCAUGUAUACACAAAGGCUAGCAUGGGUGAAAUAAAAUAAAGUUAUUUUAUAAUGGACAAGCAAGGUCCACUCAUAUUUAUUAAAAUAUGAUAAAAUUGAAUAUAAUAGACUUAACUUAUAACAUUGAAUUGAAUGGAAACAAUUUCACAAUAAUAACACUGAAAUACUCAUACUCAUUCGGUUGCCUUUAAAAGAAUUAACAGCAGCAAAAUCAUUUUUUUUUCAUUUAUAUGGAAAAUGGUGUAUCAAAGGUAGUUGUUAAAGUAUAAUAUAAAAAAAAUUAUACGUAUGAUUUGUACAUACGGUCCAAGUAAAGAUAAAACACUUUCUAUUUUCCUACUAUUUAUAAAAUAUAUUCCUUACUUCUAAAUGUAAAAUAUAAAUAUAAAAAUCAGGAAUUGAAGUUGGACUGUUACAUGAUGGCAUGCGUUAAUGUAAAAAAAUUUAUACAACAAAGGUACAUGGAGGAUAAUUUAAUUGCGUGAGGGAAUUAUUAAUUCCAUAAACCAGAUCAGCGUAUCGACAACCACUAAUAACAACCUUUCACAAUAUGGCAUAACAGAGUAUACAAGAUACAACAAGGAGCAAACUAGAAAAUCACACUGUCAUAUAUUAAUCAGCUUAAAAAACAUACCUUCAUCAUUCACAGUACAGUGAAUCCAACACUUGUACUUCCCAAUUCAGUGGCAAUAACAGAGCAGUGACUAAUUUUGCGAAAAAUUUCAGAAACCUGUAACCAAAACCGUGUGCGAUAUGGGAAGAAAAUUUAAGAAAAUGAAAGAUGUCGUAACCCAUGUCAGUGUUCAAAGAAGUGAUGAUACUAUUGCCAAUAUUAGCCACAAUCACCAUCUUCUAUAAACUAUAAACUAGCAAUAGAGCAACAUAAACAAAAGCAGAAUAGACACCCAAAUCUCCAAUUUUGAAUCCUAAUCCCCAAGAAUAAAAGACCCAAAUCCCUAAUUUUAAACCCUAACCCCCAAAACGCACCAAUAAUCAUGCAUGAGAGCAUCAAGAACGUCACUGUUGCUGAGCCACCAAAGGUCGUGUUGUCAGGUGGAUGAGAGAUUGGGAAACAAAUUGGUGUGGAGAUGCGGAGGGAGAGAAAUAGCGAAAGAGAUGGGGAAGGAAAGAAAGGGGAGGGUUUGCAAUUAAAAAAGAAAUUUAAUUUUUUAUUUUAAAAUUAGCAUAAAUUUAAGUAUGUUGGAAUUUAAAGGUUUAAACCUGUUUUUAGUCUGUGGAUGUUCAGUUUAGUUUCCGCUUUUAAAAAUGUAAAUGUUUGAUUCAUAAUUUAUAAAAAAUGAGAAACAAAUCAGAACAAUCUAAAGAUGUAGCAGUUGUUAAGAAACAACCAAAAAAAGUAUUUCAAGUCAAAAAAGGAAUCAUUUGAUACAUUUUUUAUAACUUAGGAAGAUUUACAUUUUUAAAAACGGAGAUUAAACUGAUUUAGGGACUAAAAAAAAGUUUAAACCAAAUUUAAAUGUAAAAUUAAAAAAUUUAAGUCUGGUUAUCAAGAAAUUUAAGUCUCUUAUUGUUUUAACAGAUUUAAAAUAAUAUCUUUUAUUUAUAAAAUUGUCACAGCAUAAGUCUUAAUUUUUUUUAACAAACUUAAAUUAACAGACUUAAAAACAUAGUUGCAAGAGAAAACAAAAUAAAAACUCGAUCCAAGAAAGAAAAUUCAAUAUUGCGAGAUCAAAAUUACAAAAGUAGAACUUCAAUUCGAAGUCCAAACCUGAACAAAACCAAAACAAGAGAAAUGAAAGAAAAAAAAUUCCCUAGGAUGUCAACCCGAAAACAGAGGAAAAGAGAGGAAAGAGAAGGGUAUCUUCUUGGGCGACAAGAAACUCACGCUGUCUCAAAAAUGGAAAGCAAGAGUUUCUAAAACUAUAAUUAAAACAAAGAAUAAUUUACCUAAACUUGUCACAUAAAAAAUAAUUAGACAAAUUAUUUAAUAUUGACUAAAGUAAAAAUUACACCUUUAAUAUUUUUAAAGCCGUAAAAAAAAAACCUAACUUGAACCACUUUACAACCAUCUGAACAAGUCAAAAAUAAAACGACCACUUUAAAUACAAUUAACAAAACUAAGAGUAUUAAGCCUUAAACAAUUAUGCUGGAUUCUGUAAAAAAAAAAAUAUUUACGUAGUUAUCAUAUUAGAUGUCAUUUUUGUUUUAAUAAUUUUUUUAGAAAGGAUUAGUCAAAAGAUAAGUCUGUGAUAUUUUUAUACAUAUUUUUAAUUGGUUUGACCCGUCAAAUAUGGUCAUAGUUCCUUUUUUAUUAGUUGUUCCCAGGAAAAUAAAGGGUCAUGUAGACAAGCAAAUGGAGAAGAAAUUCAAUAAAGAAAUAAGAGAGAAGAAGAAAGAUAAAACAUAUAAAAAAAUUGACUAUUGAAUAAAAGAGUAAAAAGGGAGAUUUCAUAUUAACCAUAAAUAUAUGAGUUUAUAUAACAUGUAAGUGAAUAUAAAUUUAUUUUACAAAUUGAUGUUAUAAAAUUAAAUUAAAAUGUUGAAUUAGAUUUAAAUUUUACAUUUUAACAUAGUAUUAAAAUAAAAAAAAAUAUGCUAAAAACUCUUUUGUAAUAAUUUUAAAAUAAUUUUAACUUAAAGUUUUUAAAUGUUUUAUUGUAUCACUUUUCAUUAACAUAAUAUUAUUUUUUUAUUAGAUUUUGAUAAAAUACUCGUUUGUUUUUCUUACAAUGACAUUAAAUAACUUAGACACUUUCUAGGAAUUUAAUGAAGCAAGUCUCCUUAUCCCACCAUUUCAAUUGAUAUCUCAAGUGAAAGCACGUUACAUAUUUUUUAGGAAAAUGUUACUUUAACAACGCCAUUUGACAACAAUUUUGACAACCACAGGUGGCGUGCUCUGAUUGGUUCUUUUAAUUGAAUUUUUUAAAAUGAAAAAUCCUUAGGAGAAGGGCCUUUGUGGAAAAGUAUUUGCUGGAAAUGAAUUGUAUUGGCGUCACUGCUACGCUCUCUCCACGACAACACUUAUCUCUCUCCAGGAAACCAAACUCUCCCUCCAGCAUUCUGAAAUGUUUGCACGCCACCGAAAUCGUGUUCGUGCAUAUCCAUCCACCAUUGAAGUAUUGAAGUUGCAUAUUGAAUGCUAGCAUUGUCAGCUGUUGUCGGAAGGAGAAGUAUUUUUGGAUCUUAUUUCACCGUUGAACACAUUAAUCGAAAGGUUUCGUUAUUUUCCCCUUUCGAAUGCUCUCACGUCCGUCCGCCAUUGAAGUGUUGGGAGGAAGUGUGAAAAGGGGGCUAGCAUUGACUUGAUGUAUUUAAAACUUUGUCAAUAUUGUACAGUUAUAUGAAAUGAGUACAAAGUUGGUAGCCUAUUGUUUGAACCAAGGCGAGGUGUGGGGAAUUGUGAGAAAUGUGCCUUAGGAGACUGUGUAAUCGCUUAUAGGAUAGCUGUAAUCGCUUACCAGAGAAAAUAUUAAGUUUUGUACCGAAAGUUGGUGGCUGCUCCNNNNNNNNNNNNNNNNNNNNNNNNNNNNNNNNNNNNNNNNNNNNNNNNNNNNNNNNNNNNNNNNNNNNNNNNNNNNNNNNNNNNNNNNNNNNNNNNNNNNNNNNNNNNNNNNNNNNNNNNNNNNNNNNNNNNNNNNNNNNNNNNNNNNNNNNNNNNNNNNNNNNNNNNNNNNNNNNNNNNNNNNNNNNNNNNNNNNNNNNNNNNNNNNNNNNNNNNNNNNNNNNNNNNNNNNNNNNNNNNNNNNNNNNNNNNNNNNNNNNNNNNNNNNNNNNNNNNNNNNNNNNNNNNNNNNNNNNNNNNNNNNNNNNNNNNNNNNNNNNNNNNNNNNNNNNNNNNNNNNNNNNNNNNNNNNNNNNNNNNNNNNNNNNNNNNNNNNNNNNNNNNNNNNNNNNNNNNNNNNNNNNNNNNNNNNNNNNNNNNNNNNNNNNNNNNNNNNNNNNNNNNNNNNNNNNNNNNNNNNNNNNNNNNNNNNNNNNNNNNNNNNNNNNNNNNNNNNNNNNNNNNNNNNNNNNNNNNNNNNNNNNNNNNNNNNNNNNNNNNNNNNNNNNNNNNNNNNNNNNNNNNNNNNNNNNNNNNNNNNNNNNNNNNNNNNNNNNNNNNNNNNNNNNNNNNNNNNNNNNNNNNNNNNNNNNNNNNNNNNNNNNNNNNNNNNNNNNNNNNNNNNNNNNNNNNNNNNNNNNNNNNNNNNNNNNNNNNNNNNNNNNNNNNNNNNNNNNNNNNNNNNNNNNNNNNNNNNNNNNNNNNNNNNNNNNNNNNNNNNNNNNNNNNNNNNNNNNNNNNNNNNNNNNNNNNNNNNNNNNNNNNNNNNNNNNNNNNNNNNNNNNNNNNNNNNNNNNNNNNNNNNNNNNNNNNNNNNNNNNNNNNNNNNNNNNNNNNNNNNNNNNNNNNNNNNNNNNNNNNNNNNNNNNNNNNNNNNNNNNNNNNNNNNNNNNNNNNNNNNNNNNNNNNNNNNNNNNNNNNNNNNNNNNNNNNNNNNNNNNNNNNNNNNNNNNNNNNNNNNNNNNNNNNNNNNNNNNNNNNNNNNNNNNNNNNNNNNNNNNNNNNNNNNNNNNNNNNNNNNNNNNNNNNNNNNNNNNNNNNNNNNNNNNNNNNNNNNNNNNNNNNNNNNNNNNNNNNNNNNNNNNNNNNNNNNNNNNNNNNNNNNNNNNNNNNNNNNNNNNNNNNNNNNNNNNNNNNNNNNNNNNNNNNNNNNNNNNNNNNNNNNNNNNNNNNNNNNNNNNNNNNNNNNNNNNNNNNNNNNNNNNNNNNNNNNNNNNNNNNNNNNNNNNNNNNNNNNNNNNNNNNNNNNNNNNNNNNNNNNNNNNNNNNNNNNNNNNNNNNNNNNNNNNNNNNNNNNNNNNNNNNNNNNNNNNNNNNNNNNACUGUGUAAUCGCUUACAGGAUAGCUGUAAUCGCUUACCAGAGAAAAUAUUAAGUUUUGUACCGAAAGUUGGUGGCUGCUCCCUGGGUUUUUUGGCGUUGCUCACAGGUGGGUGGUUCGUGAUAAGUUGGGUAUAACUAAGUGUUGCAAGUGCUCACAAGUAGGUAUUUUUGUUUGAACCAAGGCGAGGUUUGGGGAAUUGUGAGAAAUGUGCCUUAGGAGACUAUGUAAUCGCUUACAGGAUAGCAGUAAUCGCUUACCAGAGAAAAUAUUAAGUUUUGUACCGAAAGUUGGUGGCUACUCCCUGGGUUUUUUGGAGUUGCUCACAAGUGGGUGGUUCGUGAUAAGUUGGGUAGAACUAGGUGUUGCAAGUGCUCACAAGUAGGCUUUUUUGUUUGAACCAAGGCAAGGCGUGGUGUUCACCCUGUAAGCGAUUACAAUAGCACCAGGCCAGUGCCAUUGCUGCAGGAACUUACAUUCCAACCCACACAAACCUCUACUUCGUCUUCCCCACAAACAUAGGGGUCACUUAACUUAGAUAAUGAAUCAAAAUUAAAUAACACAUGGAAUCAACCGUACAAUAAAAUAUCCUUUCCAACAAUAACUAUCUCCGUUCACAAUCAUAUUAAGUGGUCCAAAUACAAAUAUACAUACUUAAAAAUCUACCAAAUACUACACUAUUACAAAAAUUACAUAACUCUCAACCAAGUUUUGGAAUGUAUCCGGUGUAUGGAGUUCUACAAGCUUUGCUCUUGAAACGCCGUCGACGAAAUACACCCCCAACGACGACAGAGGCGAAACCUAGCUCGGAAGACCGAAACCCAAUGAAAUCCUUCAACCUCCCCUCACAUUGCUCACCGUUUCAAAGCCUUCAGUAAAUGGACACAGAAGGAACAACUUCAAAGGAACACGAAAACAUUAAAUGGAUGCAGAGAGAGCUUCGGAGAGAAACGAAAACCUACAAUGGAGCAAAAAGAGAGAGAGUGGUUAAAGAGAGAGUGCUUCGAAGCAGAAAUAUUGAUUUAAACCACUGAGGGUGUUUUUGGAACAACACAAAAUCUCCUUUUUCAAAUCAUUAUUUUAAUUAAAAAAAAUUUAAAUCACCCAAUAGAUUGCUGACACGUGGCGUUGUCAAAUUGUUGUUAAAAUUUUGUUAACAUAUCGGGAUCCUUUUUUUUAACCUCGCGAGACACCCAGUCAUAAUCUAGAAUGACAUAAUCUGGAAUAACUAGGAUAAACUGAGCAGCCACAUCCACCUCGUUGGCAGCAUCUAUUUCCAACACAAUGUCGACCUUAGCAUCGUCGGUAGGUGAGACUUUAUAUUUUUCUACACUGGUCAUAUUGCAGGUAGAAUUCGUGUCCCGAUUAGUUUAUUUCAAAACAAAAGACACGACGGACAAUGACACCAACAAUGAAAAAGCAUCCUAUGCUCGACCGUUCUUUCCCUCAAACUCCUUAGACGAAGAUAAUUCAACGCUUGAUCUUAUUACCUAGAAUGUGAAGAACGAUUGGUUGACGAAAGAAAGUAGGAAAGCAAAGGUGAAGAUGACGGGUGGGCCUCCGGUUAUUGGAUCAAGUCAGAUCCAACAACUCACAAUAUCUAACUCUUCAAAUUCUAAUGGGCAUGAGAUUUGAAGUGUCAUGCGCCCUUCUUGCAAUGGUCAUAUUUUCAAACAAUUCAAAAGGGGUGUUGCUCCCUACACAUCCCCAAGUGGGACCUGUACCUCCUCAUUAAUUUAAUUUAUUUCAAAAAUAUUCUACAUCUCUCCACUAUUUUCUUUUAUUCCAAAAAUACCCUACACCUCCCCAUCCUUAACCAUCUUUCUCUUUCUCUUUCUACAUUAAUAGAGCAUUUACAUGACUCAUUAAUGGAGCAUUUACAUGACUUAAAUUUGAAUAUAUUUUCUUAAAUAAGUUUGAUUCAAUCUUAUUUUCGUUGUUGAAUAUAUUUUUUUUUUCAAAUUACUUAAUAAAUGGUAAAAUUUUGUUCUAAAUUUCUAGAAAAAUGUUUAUAUACAUGUAUCUUUUUUUAAAUAUNNNNNNNNNNNNNNNNNNNNNNNNNNNNNNNNNNNNNNNNNNNNNNNNNNNNNNNNNNNNNNNNNNNNNNNNNNNNNNNNNNNNNNNNNNNNNNNNNNNNNNNNNNNNNNNNNNNNNNNNNNNNNNNNNNNNNNNNNNNNNNNNNNNNNNNNNNNNNNNNNNNNNNNNNNNNNNNNNNNNNNNNNNNNNNNNNNNNNNNNNNNNNNNNNNNNNNNNNNNNNNNNNNNNNNNNNNNNNNNNNNNNNNNNNNNNNNNNNNNNNNNNNNNNNNNNNNNNNNNNNNNNNNNNNNNNNNNNNNNNNNNNNUAUUUGUUAAAGAUUUAGAAUUUAUUUAGUUCUUUCGUCAUUAUAAAGUUANUAUAUAAUAAUAAUAAUAAUAUAUCAUUAUUUACUAUUAAUAUUAUUAUGUUUAUUAUUUUGUAUUUGUAUCUAACUUUUAAUUUUAUAAAAUGGAAAUGGUAGAAGUACUAAUAUUGAAGUUUGCUCUGAAUUUUAUAUUUUGUAGUAUGUUACAAAUUCAAAUCUGAACCACGUGAAUGUUUCAUUAAUGUAGAGAGAGAGAAAGAGAAAGAUGGUUAAGGAUAAUGAGGAGAUGUAGAGUAUUUUUGGAAUAAAGAAAAUAGUGAGGAGGUGUAGAAUACUUUUGAAAUAAAUUAAAUUAAUGGGGAGGUACAGGUCCCACUUGGGGAGGUGUAGGGAGCAACACCCAUUCGAAAGGUCUUCACCGACUAGCCGAACAGUCUUGAAGCUUCCCAAGCAAACAAUUAAAGAUCUUAAUUACCCACAAACGACACAAACGAAGAGUGUUAUUCAUCCAAUUACAAAUCCUUUCGCUAGUCAUUUCAGGUUUGGGCUUGGAGGGUCUGUGUACCAUAUGAUAGUCCGAUCACUUACGGCCCAAACGGUCAACCUUACAACAACUUGUGAGCGAGUCAUCAAUAAGGCCAGAUGGUCAAGAAGGUUAACUGCUUAGCCAGUGGUCACGACAAUUAACCCUCAAGCUAACCAACUUAGAGGUAAAGUGUAAUUACCCACAAUUGGACCAUAAUUAGAUUGUUGUUAAUCAAAGACUCACUCUAAAAUCUAUAAACAUAGGUUUAAGGUAAGGGGGUAGGUGAUAUGUAUUUACUACACCAUUAAUAUUUGAGCUGCCAACGUUGAGUUGACUUUGACAUCGGAUUGCCUUCUUCAACUAUCCUUUUAUUGGAUUUGAUGAAUGGUUAUGAGAGGACUCGGAGUCGAAGACAACUUUCAAACCCCUGAACGACUUAUUUGACGUUAGAUUGUUGACCUCGAUCCUACACCUCAAAAUAAAUAAGGGUUAAAUAUGUUUUUAGUCCCUAUACUUUGCGGCGAUUUUGGUUUUAGUCCCUCUUUCAAACUAUAGUACAAUUUAGUCCUCCAAUUUUAGAAAACUCUGGUUUUAGUCCUUUUUAUCAAAUUUUUUUAACUUUAUUUGCUCUUUCAAACACGUUACAUUAUAGCAUUUGGAUUGUUUACACUGUUUAACACAUUUUUGCUUCAAUGUUAACUGAGAAACGCGUUUGAAACAGCAAAUAAAGUUUAAAAAAUUUGGUAAAAAGGACUAAAACCAGAGUUUUCUAAAGUUGGAGGACUAAAUUGUACUAUAGUUUGAAAGAGGGACUAAAGCCAAAAUCGCCCCAAAGUAUAGGGACUAAAAACAUAUUUAACCCAAUAAAUAAUAUUCUCUCUCAGAAGUUGUGGAAUUUUUGUGGGAAGAAACACCUGUAAGAUCCAAGAGUUAAUAAUAUAAGGGAUGUCAUAUUCGCACUCUCACAUUUUUAUAUUCUCAUUUGACAACUCUAAAAAUUCUUAUUUUAUUUCAAAAUUUUGCUUCUAUUUAUUUUUAUACGUUAAAUAUAAUAUUUUAUUAUUAAAAAGGAUUGUAAAAUGAAAAUAAAAGAAAAUAAUGGUGGGAAAAUGUAAAAUCUUAUUUAAAAGGAUAAAACUACUAAAUGAAACAUUAUAAAUGUGAUAAUCAACAAACAUGUGAGACAACUAUACAACAAAUAUAUUACAGUCAUCCAUAAAACAUAUAUUGAGUAUAUAGAUUUAUACAUAUACACACUAACAGAAAUUAUCCUAAACUAUGUUGUUGUAUCACCAUCAUCCUGCACUCGAUUAACUAGAACAUCUUGAUAUGCUCACACAAUUUAGAUGAUCAUUGCAAAUAAAAAGAGAACAUAGACAAACAAAAACAAACGAAAGGGUAAGCUAAUGUACCAAAACGAGAAAUCAUACAACAUGUAUAAAGUGUUAAGACAAGAUCGUUUAAGCAAACAUUGUUUUAAAGUUUAACAAAACCUCUAAACAAAAUAGUGUUUAAUCGCUUGAAUCAUCUAGGAUAAAAAGCGGUAUCCAAAAUAACUUAAUACCCAAAAUGCUAUAAGGAACUCUAAUAGAACGUCUAAUCUAAAUAACGUCUAACAAAAGCUUAAAUCGUCUAGGAUAAAAGUAAAAAAGCAUUCAACGCUACAUAUUAAAAUUAUCAUAAACGAUGUAAGUUACUUAAAUUAACGCCUAAAAAAUAGUAUACUUAUUAUGCUUAAACACUUAGGAUCGUCUACACAUAACACAUUUACUCUGCCAAGAUGCAACAUAGCUUCUUACUCAGUACUAUAAAGGCUAUACUUUUAGAAGAAAGUCAAAUCUCAAAGUAACAGAUCCUUUUUUAAGAAGUCCAUAUGAAGAAGACUGCAUGAAGAGAAGAAUUAUUAUUAUUAUUGAAUACGCUCACAACGUCUCUCUUUAAGCUCUGUCUGUUAGACUUGUUCUUUGAAAAGAAAAGUUUUUUACAUGCUUUCAGAAUUUUAUUGUAUUGCUUUCAAAUCCUCUCUAUAAGAGUUACACAUUUCGUUCUUGUUUGUAAAACACUUUGUUGCUUUUUUGUUCAAAAGUGAAGUAAAACACUUAUAAGGUUAACUAAAAUUAGUUGAUAGCAGGAGUGGUUAUACUCAUUUUAAUCAGCGGGUUAAUUUUAUACUAGGAUUGGUUAUACUAGUUAUAACUAGUGGGUUAGUUGCAUUCUAGAAAUGGUUAAACUUGUUCUAAUCCUUUGUGAUUAAUGGAAUCCCAUAAAGGUAUUUAAGGGAUAAUUGGACAUAGCUCAGUUUGAAGCAAACCAUUAUAAAAACAAGUGUGCUGUCGCAACCGGAAAUCGCGACGGGACGACGAUCCAAAAAAGGAAGACAUGUUUAAGAAAAGUUUUUGGAGUCGCCACCAUAGUUUAUUCUGGAAAACUACGGAAAAACCGUAAAAUGAUAAGGCAAGGUCUACAAAACCAAAUUCUGGUUUCGGAAGUCGGUUACGUGUGGGGAAGGUGUUAGCACCCCCAAAACGCCUGCCCUAAGGCAGUACCUUUAACUAAAUACGCGAAUUUGAUGUGGUUUGCAAAAUGUUUAAUUUCCCCUAAAAAAUAAACUCUAAAGAAAACAAAAUAUUUUUUGUGUUUUUUGUGCCCGACAAGGAUUGACCUUGCUCCUACGUAUUCUCAGUUGGAUUGAGAAAUCAGGGUUACGUAGUUCUUUAGGAAACCAUUUGCAAAAUUUGUUUGGAGAAUUGUUUGGAAAGUUUGUUUGGAAAAUUUGGAUUUCUGGGAAAGUGAGCCUGACAAGGACUAGCCUUGCUCCUACAUAUCUCCACUUUGGAUGGAGAAUCAAGGAUUACGUAGUUCUGGCCGAAAGAUUGUAUGUUGGAAGAUGUUUUUAGUUUUUGAAGAUUUUUAUAUUUUUUGGUAUUUUUAUAGAAAAAAAAAGGAAAAGGUUUUCAGCACAAGACCGACAGAAUGGUCGCACGUGUGCUUAAACCUUUUAAAAUAAUUUUUUAUUGAUUUUUGAAAGAAGAAUAAAAAGGUUUUCAGCACAAGACCGACAGAAUGGUCGCACGUGUGCUUGAACCUUUUAAAAUAAUUUUUUUAUUAUUGUUGAAAGAAGAAGAAAAAGGUUUUUAGCACAAGGCAGACAUAAUGGUCGCACGUGUGCUUGAACCUUUUAAAAUAAUUUUUUUGUUGAUUUUUUUUUUGAAAGAAAAAGAAAAAGGUUUUUAGCACAAGGCAGACAGAAUGGUCGUACUUGUGCUUAAACAAAUUAUGAUUUUUCAAAGAGCAAGAAAAAGGUUUUUAGCACAAGGCAGACAGAAUGGUCGCACUUGUGCUUAAACCCUUUAAAACAAUUUAUGAUUUUUUAAAGAGGAAGAAAAAGNNNNNNNNNACAAGGCAGACAGAAUGGUCACACGUGUGCUUAAACCUUUUAAAAUAAUUUUUUUGUUAUUGUUGAAAGAAGAAGAAAAAGGUUUUUAGCACAAGGCGGACAGAAUGGUCGCACGUGUGCUUAAACCUUUUAAAAUAUAUUUUUGUUAUUUUAUUUUUUAUGAUUUUUAUAUUUUAUAAAUUUUUUGAAAUGAAUUUUUAUCAAAAGUGAGUGCAUAGUAACUAUGGAGAUGCAACUAGUAAAAUAAAAGCAAACCCAAACACAAGAAAGAAUGCAACAAAAAAUGAUAAUAAAAGUGUGGUGUGUGUUUGAAAGGUGUAGGAAGUAAAGCAUGAAUAACGAAAAGUCUUAAUAUACAUAGGGGUGUAUGGUGUAUAGAAAAAACCAGGGUGCAUCCGAAAAUUCUUUAGUUCAGGCCCGAAUGGAGAUAGUGGUGCAGUAGUGAAAUUUAGGUAUGCCAUUUAGUGGUUGCUAGCCCAAGACCGAGGCCCAUUUCUUUCUUACUUUAUUUGACAGGGGUGCAAAAUGGGACAGUGGAGGUGCAGCUUGAAAUAGUGUGCUCUAGCUCAAACCUCCUCUUUAGUUUACAGAAACAGAGUGGGGUGUGAACAGGAGUUGUGCCUCAGCAGCAAGAAAAAGACAGCCCAUAUUGGCCCAAGGCCCGCUUAACCCCAUCAGAAACAUUAGGGGUUUUGCGAAUAUGCCCCAUUCACAUUCAAUUUCCUAGAGACUUGGGAUCUCCCUCGAGGAGAAAGAAAAAGUCUGUCUCUGUUGCCACUAUGUGCCACCGUCUCCGCCACCGUAAUCAUCCGUUGGGAGCCACAGUCUACGGCGCCGCCGGCGACUCCUUUCGCCACUGGAGCCAUUGCCGGCUGGGGAGAAUUCUUCCCCCUUUCCGCCGCCCGUCGCGCGAGAGAAAAGUAACUUCGCCUCCUUGCGUCGCACCCUCAUCGUCGACCACCGCAAGGGCUCUCUCCUCUUCUUACCUUCUCCGCACAGCAGCUCUGAUUGGCAUCACUUAAGAGAGUCUUUGAGUCAUGGUAAUGCUUCGGCCUUAUUGCGCUUUCGGAGAGGUCCGCCGCGGUGGUUUUGAGUUCCUUCGCAGUUUCUUCAAAGAGGUCGAGAUGGUCGUCGAGAGCUUGCCGUUCGAGUUUGUUGAGAUUGGGGAGCUUCUUUCGGAGACUGCUGCAGUUGGAGGAGGUUAUGAUGUGAUUUAAGACCGAACGUGUCAUCUGUGAUACAGUUUUUGGGAUGAGCUCUGGGAAAGAGGUAAGGGUUGCUGUUGUGGCCGCAGCUGUUGAUACUGUUGCGGUGGCUGCUGCCCCAUGGUGGGAGGAACCAUGAACAUCACCAAGAACCACCAUUGCUAAAGUCACUGAUUCUAUUGCUCCAUUUUCCUCUUCAAUCUUGGUUUCCUAUUGCUGUUCUUCAAUGAAUUUUGUAUGGUUUUGGUUGAUGACGGUGUGAACUUAGCUUAUGGCUUGCUGGAAUUUCGUUAACACGGAGAGUUUGGAAUAGGAAGAGUAUACUGUGAAUGGUUUCCAACAGUACUAGAAAAGUGUCGAAGACUGCCAAGAUUUAACUAACUCAAUGAUUUUGAUAUUGAUGAUGAUGAAGGUGUUUACAAGUUGGGCAGAGUCGAGGGAUGGAGUAUGUGUGUUUUUUUUUUGAACUAAAGGUGAGUGUAUUGGUGAAAAGGAGGCAGGUUUGCCAUGAACAUUGCAAAGGCCGAGAGAAACGAGAUGAGGAUGGGGGAAGCUGGUUUAUGACUGAGAAUAUGGUUCUGGUGACGGGUUGUGUGUUGAUGGAGAUUAAUUUUGUCUUUUUUUUUGGUUAGAGAAUAUACAGAUGAGGUGCUUGGAUAUAAGGGUUGGUGGUGGGUUUGGAUGAGAAAAUGGAGGAGAGGAGAAUCACGUGUGUGAACGAUGCUGGCGUUGGAGGUGUCGAAGGUUGGAGGUGAGUGAUGGCAAUGGAGAUUGGUUCUUGUUAUCUGGUGAGCAAGAAUUGGUUUCGAAAGGGGGUCCUCUCUUCUGUGAAUGGAGGGAUAAUUUUUUAUUUGUGAUAAGUGGUGUCUCAUUUUUUUGGGUUAGAGGAGCAGAGUGGUGGAGAGCCUUCGAGUGUGGUGUCCUUCCUUGCCUGCCAAGACCAAACCGCCUCUGCCAAAAUCAAUCCUCGCCUCCCCAAUUUGCAUCCUUUUCCUCAGACCAUAUUGUCCUUCUUUUUCACAAACGACAAAGCCUUUUUCUUUUUCUAAUUUCCCUUUUUUUUCUUUUUCUUAAUUAUAUUAGUUAUGCUAAAACAAAGCUAAAAAUAAAAAAAAUAAAAAGUAAAAAAAAAUUAUGAAAAUAAAAGUAAAAUAAAAAUAAAAUAGAAUGAUAAAAACGAAAUAAAAAAAAGAUAUAAAAUAAGAUAGAAUAAGAAAAAUCCGUAUAUCAUUCACCCGGAUGAAAUUGGGUGUUGACAUGUGCCUUAUUGCUUUUGCUUUUCAAAGGUUUUCCAUAAACGUUGUUUUGUAAACUUAAGUGUUUAACAAUUGUUGCAUACCGUCUAACUCCUGCAAAGGAAAUUAAACAUUUAUUUACAAAAAGAUUUAAAACUUUAUUCAACCCCCUUCCCCCUUUUAGAUUUUUAGGUGAGUAAAGUCUAUGUUCCAAGCCUCAAGAGCAAGAAAGGAGGAACGAUACCUUCGGAGAAAAAAAAAAGACAUUGGAAAGUUAGGUAUAAACCAUUCCACCUCUAUUGGUAAUGUAUUAUUAGUAGAUGGCUCUAAACAUAAUAUGCUUAGCAUAAGCCAAUCAUGUGAUAGCUGAUAUAAUGUUUUUUUUGAAAAAGUCAAUCUCCUAGACAAAAAAGGUCUACUAAUGUUUUCUGCUAAUAGACAAGGAAACUUGUACAAGAUAGAUCUAAAUGAAUUGCACGUUCAAAGCGUUUCAUGUCUAGUAUCUAUAAAAAACGAGGCAAUGAUAAGACAUAAUUAGUAUGGAUAUGCAAAUAUGAGAUUAAUCUCAACUAGAAGAAAAAUGAAAAUUACCUACUGAUAUUUACAUGUGGAUUUUGAUAUAUAGGUAUUACAUACGGAUUUUACAUACAGGUCUUGAAAACUGAGUUACAUACAAAUUUUACCUACUGAUAUUUUUGUAUGCAAUGUUAGCACGUUUAGACAAGAAUUUUAUCUAAGGAUAUUUUUCGUAUGUAAAUAAUUAAAAUCCAUAUGUAAUUCCAAAAAAAUUACCUACAAUAUUACAUAUAGAUAUUUAUAAUUAAUUAUUAAAAAUAAUUAAAAAAAAAGUAAAACUUUAAUUUCCAUUGUCUCCCUCCCUCACAUUUUCGCAACCUCAGUCCCUACCAUCGUCGCUCCUUAUAGUCGUCUUGCUGUGAGUCCUUCUCUUGUUUGUUUUGAUUAACAACAUUGUGUGGUGUGGUUUGCAAAAUGUUGUCGGGUGGUGCAAACUAUUAAUAAAUGGAUUUUAAGUCUAACUUAACCCCACAAAACCGGCUUAUGAGGUGAGGUUUUCACCCACUUAUAUAUUAUAAAUUGACCUUAUUUCUAGUCGAUGUGAAACUUCCAACACCCUUACGUCGAGGUAUAUACAUCUCGAGCGUGAGAUUAGACACUAAUGGAUGGUCUAAUAAUGGCUCGAUAGCGAAUGGAACAAUAUGUGCAAAAAAUUAUCGCUACGAUAGACUCUAACGUGAUUUUGAUACCUUGUUAAUAUAGCCUAACUCAACCUCAAAAAAUCGGUCGAAAAUGUAUUUAUAAAAGAAAAAUUCAAAUUUUGGUUGCGAUUUUAAUAAAAUCACAAAAAAUUUAAGGGGGUUUUAAAAAUCGCGGAAAAGAAACUCCUCCCAUAUUAAAUUAUUUUUGUAGUGCAAGUAUCCAAAAUAACUUUAAUCUCAAGUUUAGUUAUAGUGAGGUAAAGGUCUAUUACACCUUAUUGCAUUUUGCUUUUGUUAGUUGUGUGCAAGUAUGUGGGAAUAAUAGUUGAAGAAAUGAAAUUAAAGAAAUCAUAACGACAACCAAAAAAAUGUUACAUGAUCAAUACAAGAGAAUUAAUUUUUCAGCAAGUAUUCUAGGUAGUUUGUAGUACAAAUGUCAUAUCCAUAAUAAUUUGGUAGAAUACAGAAUGUUAUAACUAACUUGACUUUGAAUAAAAUAGUAAAAAGAUGCCUAAAGAGUGUGAAAACCAAAUUAAUGUAAGAAAAUAAAGCUAUUUUAUCAAAAUAACACGUGGAUUUGUUCUCCUCUCAAAUAGUCAUUUAGAGCAUUGAGGCCACUCUUUUACCUCUUUCAAGUUUGUCAUGUGUGGUCGCAUGUCUCGUCUCCACUUAGGCAGUUAUUCAUUGCAUUGAGGUCGCUCUUUUUCCUCUUUUAAGUGUCUUGAUUGAAGAAUCUUAGAUUUUUAAGGUUUCUCUCUCCUAUUCAUCCAUGGCUUCAUCUGCUAUUGUCUCUUUUGUCCUCUCUUUUGUCAUUGGUGUGUUUGACCCAUCAUAGCAGAUGAAGUAUCGCUCUUUCUAUCUUCCACCUCGGUUCUCAUUUUCAUUGGGAUCCUCACUUCGCGUUUAGCUGAGAAGGAUUUCCAUUGAAGAUGUUGCCAUUGAAGUUACUUUGUGGCCUCGUGUCUCUUUUCUUGUCUGUGGCGUCAAUGAUGAUAGCAUUUUGUGCUUCACUUGUGAUGAUUCUUAAGGGUCAUCAGCAGUUGAUAAUAACAGCUACGUCACUUGGGAGUAUUCCUAUUAUCGUGCUUGUACCCUCACAGCUUCGCCUCUUCCUUGAGAUUUUCAAUUCUACUAUUCAAGCAAGAUAUAUCAAGUGAAUAAAACCGCUUUUGUAAGUGCUAAAUUAACAUAUCAUGAAGGGAACCUAUGUCAAGUACUAAAUUUUGUUUGAAUUGAUUGAAUUAAGGAUAUGGCUUCCGAUUUCCAAUACAAAUCAAGCUAAUUAAACACAUGUAAUGAUGUAACUAGACAUAAAUUAAUCUUGUGAAAUUCUAGAAUGAAUAAAUAAUGUGAAAGUAUGAUGUAUAAGGAAUGUAUAGAAAAAACCCAACCACUUUUUUAAUACAACAUAUUUUGGGCAAUCCUUGGUGGAGGAAAGACCCAAUGUUGGUGUCAUGACCAAGUUAGGUCAAGUCCUGAAACAAGUGUAGGUCAUUUUGUACCUUGUAAUCAAUUACAAGCUUGUAAUGAUAACUUGACCUUUGCUUACUAUUGUAAUGAUAACUUUUUCCACCGACCUCCAAAUUAUGCAAUUCUUUUUUUAUUAUAAACUAGACUCAGAAAGCUUUCCAAUGCCUACUAAUGUGUAAUUUUUGGACAUAUGAGUAGGUACAGUUUAUUCCUUAAAGUUAACGCUUUAUAUAUUUCUACCACCUUUGACAUUUGCUGGUUGUUUUGCUCUUAACAUUCUCUACCAAAUUCCAAAUGAGUUGAUUCUUAUUUUUUUGGAAUCUACACUCAAAGAGCUUUCAAAUGACUACUAACCCACAAUUUUUAGACCAUUGUACUAGAUGCAAUUAAUUUCCCAAAAACAAUGUUUUUUUAAGCUUCCUAAAUGAGUUUACUUUCAAGUUAUUGUUUCAUGUUUCUUAUUUUAGAUGGGAAAAUUACAAAUUAGUAGUCAUUGGAAAGUUUAUUAAGUACAUUUUCUAAUAAAAUAGAAUCACAUCAUUUGGAGGUCUGUGGAAAAAGUUAUGAUUAAAAUAGUCAGCAAAGGUCAAAGCCCAUAUUUGUUUUUGAACUAAGGUAGGUGAAGUCUAUGACCAUUUUUGUCCAAGUCAUGCCUUGGUGAUCGAUUACAGGGUCUGUAAUCGAUUACUAGAGGCUAAUUGCUGGUUUGUACAAAAAGUAAUAUGUGAUUUGUUAGUUAGAAGAACUUGACUCCCCAAGGUCAUUUUUAUGUCUUUUUGGAUGAUUUUGGGUGUGUUGUUACGAGAUUUAUUCCAUUUUUUAGAUGGAUGAUUGAUUUUAUUUAUCGAUACCGUGAAAAACUCCUUUUAUCACUGAACAAAGCCCAAACCUUGGAGAAAGGAGAUAUCUUUUCUCGUUGAUGGAGAGUGCAAGAGAGGUAAAGAGGCAUAAUGCUACAACAUUGGUGGAGCAAGGGUGAGAGAUGUCACUUUCAAUAUCCCAAUGGAUGAGAAAACAAGAGCAAAUUGCGCGAGGGAGAUAACACAAAAAUAAGAAAACAAAAUGAGACAACAAAGAGAUGAAGAGAGAUUUUAGAGGAUUUCAUGGUGGUCGGUGGCAACCAAGAGACAACAUUAUAAAGAGAAAGACUUGAGAUAAAGAGGAUGAUGAACCCCUUUUCUCGUUUCCAAAACACCUUCUGCAUAAGAUUUCAUUUCUGAAAAUAUUAUUUAAAAUGGACCAAUCAAAUGUCGUCACUUUGCUGUUGUUAAAAAGAUGACAAAAAUGAAUUGCUAAAAAAACAUUUUCCUUAUGUUUAUAUGAUUGGAUGCAAUUAACUUAUGUAACUCCUUUUUAUUUUGUGUUUGCUGCAUGUGUGAAAAUUUUCGCCUUUUUUUUUAUUAAUUGAUUUUUUUAAUCUAGAACUUUUGGGGAAAAAACAAUAGAAAUUUCAAUAAGAAAAAGUUAAUUGAAAUUAGUUUUUUUUUUAAUUCUUGAUUUAAUGAAUAUUUUAUUGUAAUUAUGAAAUAGAUGAUAUUGUAAUAAGUUAGAUUGAGUAUUCGAAUGCAUAAAAUUGAUCUAAUGGUUAAAAUACCGUUUCAAUUGUAAUUUUUCAUUUUUAAAUACACCAUUUUAAUUUAUUGAUAAAUAAUGUUUCAUCAGUUAUUAAAGAGAUUAUGAAAAGUAAAAAUUCUAUGGAUUGAAUGCUUUCUUCCAAAAAUAUAAAAUAAACAUAAUUGAGUGGCUAAUGCAUGAGAAAAAAAGAAAGCAUAUUAGGUAAAAAAAGAGGGAAAUCUUACCAUCUAACUUUAUGAAGUCCCAAAGGCUGGGAUAUAAAUGUGAAGAAGGCAUUCGAGCCAAUUGGAGCAAGACGCGUAAGCAUUCAAUGGGCAGUUAUCGUCGUAAGAUUUAAGCAAUUUCAAAACCACACAUGCGAGUUCAAACCAUGCAACCAUUUCAGAAUUAACUUCUUUUUUUUAAACAUGCUAUCAGUGCAAACUAAUAUUCCAAAGGAUGAUGAUAUUUUAACAACAUUUUUUGACAAUUUUUUUGACAACGAGAUACGUGUCAUCAUUUUAUUGGUCUAUUUGAAUUUAUGUUUAAAAAAUAUGUAAAAUAGACCAAUCAUAAGCUGUCACGUAUACGUUAUCAAAAAAUUGUUAAAAAAGUGUUGUUAAAAUAAUUUUUUCCUAUAGGUAAAUCAAAGGAGCAUUGAAGUGGUGAAGGUGGAAGAUUGAGGGUUUGAAGAAAAGAACGAGGGAAACAGCGUAUAUGGAUGUGUGGUUCAUUCGCUUACCGAAUAUAGCGCUUGAAUGCAUCGUUCCAGCUGCAAAACUCGAUUGUGUUUGAUGACAUGAGAAGGAGUUUUAAGGAAAAGGUAACGAGUCAUUCUUUUGCGUUGCUUCAUUACACUGCCUUGCCUUGCGUUGCUUCACAUCCUUUUAAUUGAAUUUAUAUUAAUUUUUGUAAACUAUUUAAAUUCUAAAAACUUUAAAAUUUUUAAAUUGCAUUCUCAUUGUUAGAUUAUUUUAAUGUGGUCAUCUUAUUCUUAAAUUUCAUUGUUAACGUGAUUAUUAUCAUACAAAUUUUAUAGAAACUCAAUUGAAAAUUUUUAAAUUUAUAAUAAAUAUAAAAAUUAAUUAAUUAAAAAAAAAACUCUAAAACUAACAUAGGAAAGAGAACAUAAAAUUAACGUAAUGAAUAUUUGAAAAAUUUUACAUGCAUAACUCAUCAUUUUGUUAUAUUAUUUGAAUUGGCUGUAAAGUUAACUUUAUAUUGUGCCAAAAACUAUAACUUUUAAAAAGAGAAACAGAUAUAACUUUUUUCUUUUAUGUUUCCUUCAUUUAUGAGAAAAAAGAUAUUACAUAACCUAUCUCUUUCUUCUAUUAAGGUUGUAAAUCGUAUUUUCAUUUAGCGAGUUUGACAACCUUACAAACCAUUUAAUCCAUUUAGGUUAAUUUCAUUAGAAAACAUCGUGUGAUUAUUUAUCCUAAUUUAAAGGCAUCCAAGUUUACAUUAGUGUUUGUGUAUUCAAAUUAGUUACAUGAUUUCAAUUAUCAAACUUUCCUAAUAAAGUAGACUGACCACAAACUUACAUCUUUUAAAUAAUGGAAUAAAAAUAGCAAAAAGAGAGACAAAAAUAAAUAUGCUACAAUAGGUAGAUGAUACCUUUUCUUUUCCGAGGAUAAAAUCCAAAAUAUUUUGACCUUGAAAUCUACUUUAAGAUGUUUUGAGGUUACGUCUUGACCAAAAAUCUGUCGGUAAUUUUUAUCUGUAAAAAUUACUGGUAAAUAUUAUUCAUAAAUAUCAUUAUCUAAUUCAUCUUCUUCAUCAUCCAUUCUUCUUAUUCUUUUUUUUAUUUUCUUAUUUUUUCUUUUCUUCCAAAUCCUCGUCUCCUCCUUUUCCUCUGACAAAGCUACCGCUACCGAUGUCUAGCUUCAUCGUUGCCAUCGCCAACAACUUCUCCUCUAAUUCUUCCUCUUGCUUCUCUUAUUUUUCAUUCUUCUCCUUCGCUGACACCACCACCUCCACCAUUGAUGCACCUUCGAGCAUCGUUACACCACCUCUGACUCCUCUCUUUCUCCUUCUCUUCUUCUUCCCCUCCACCUUUUUCUCUUCUUCCUUUUUCUACUCCUUCUUUUCUUUUUCUCACACGUUUAUAAUUAAUUUAUAGAAAAAUAUCAUCUAAGUAAAUAGGAAAUUUGGCAACGACGAAUUUCAUGAAAUUCAAUUACGAACAAAUUUUACCACAAGUCAAAGCAGGAAAUGUAGUGUCAUUUUACCUAAGAAUUUAUCGAUGGUAAAAUUCAUCCAUGAUAACAAUUCUAGUUUACCAAUAGAUUUUAUCGAUGGAUAUUUAUUAUUAUAUUUUUUGUUAAUGAUUCAAAUUCUAAAAUAUUAACUGAUUUUAUUGAUAAAUUUAUUUUUGUCGAUAAAAUUUGUCAGUAAAAGUUGUUUUACCAACAUAUUUAUUUUUGUAAAUAAAAUUCUAUUGGUUAUUAAAGGAUUUCUUGAAAUGAUGAAAUUCUAGAAAUCUAAAAUUUUUUUAUCCAAUUUUAAACAAAAUUAGGAACACACGGAGAGGAUGGAAGGGUAGAUAGUUAUCCUUUGCAGGCGAAGUGUAUAUGGUGAAAUUGGUCUUAACUACCCUUCCUUUUUUUAUUUAUCAUUCUUUAAAGUUCCAAAAAUAGUUAUAUAAGCGAUUACCAAAAUACAAAAGACAACAAUUUGUAAGCCAAAAAGAGAUAGGAGGUUUAGACACAGAGGAUGUUGUACCGGUCUUGCUACAAGUUUUCCUGGUAUCCUUUUUUCUAAUAAUUGAUGAAUUGUCAACAUUUACUUGAAAAUUUUAUUAACUUGAUUGGUCCAUGCACCAAUUGAAAUUAAGGAUAAAAGCUCAGAUUAAUCUCUGCCUAUUUUGAUUUCAUAUAUCUCAAUAAAACAAAAUAUUUGCUUCACUUUUUUUUUACAUUGAAAAGUAUAUGUUAUUAAUACAACUAUCUAGCUACUAUCAAAAUAUUAUUUAUGAACUUUUAGCCUUAAACACAACUAUCCAAUUAUUACUAAAGUACAAUUUAAUGAACUCCAUAACUAUUACUAAGAAGCACUACCUUUUGUAUUUUCCUAAAUAUCAUCGUUUAAGUUUACCUAACAUCAAUUGUCAUACUUCUAGUGAAAAUAUCUUUCGAUACAGCAGACAACAAAGAGGCUUUUGCCUUUGACUUUCCUCCUUUUUUUUCUCCUUGUGAUUUUUCAUUUGUACCAAUGUUGGAUUAUCUGGUAAGGAAAGAACUUCGUAGUCCUCUUCAACAACUUCCCAGACAUCAUUUGACUUCAGAUAUGCGUUCGUUCUUGUUGCCCAAAUAUAAUAAUCAUCACAAUUAAACACAGGGGAUGCUAGUGUUGUGUAUUAUGUUUCAGAAUCCAUCUAAUUGAUGAAUUGAAGCAUGUGUUUUUGACUUUUUUGUGGUGGGUUACCCUCGGUUCACUUAGAGGUCUAUCUAAAGAGAAGACUCUUGAUACCAAAAGCAAAAUAACAUAUUGUAAAAGCAACCAAAUACCAAACUUCCUAAAAAGUAGCCUUGAGUAAUUAAAAUAAAUAAAGUUCUAAAAUUUUGGUUAAACAGCAUGAAAACAGAAAAACGGUUAAACAAAUGCACACGUUCAACAUAACCUAACGUGGCUAAGUGUAUAGAAAAAUAAAAACAUUAACAAAUAAUUUGAAAUGAUACUUAAUGUCGGCAUGCUUUGAUAGGCAACAACAACAGCUUACGAAAAAAUCUUCCGAUGAAGGUUAACUUUUGGUGACCGGUGAUGGGAUUUGCUGUUAUAAAUUGGAAAAUCUGAAGUAGGAGUCUGAGUGAGGAUACAAGUAAAAUGAAGGUAAUGCCUGUCAAUAUGACGACUCCUGUAAAGAGGUCCUUGUAUUUACAUUUUUUUGUUAGAACUAUUCCAAGCGCAGCACAGAAGGUAAUCAUCAUGGACACUAGAGACAUGGAAAGGAACCCAAGCCCUGACAUUAUCUUGGUGGGCAAUCUUUUUAGGAAGUCUGUCGGAGCAUAACGCGAUGUUUGCAUGUCAAUGUAUAUCAAUACUGUAAUGAUAGACGCCAAGAGAGAGAUUACAUCAGCUACAAUAAACACACUAAACCGUUUUUCCAUUAACAAAAUCGGUAUUCCAGUCUCUUGAUUGAGACCCCCUGGUACUGUGAAGACUGCACCGAACAUCACAGUUAUAACGAGAACACCCACAAUUGCAAAUGUCCCAGCUGUUUCCUUUGCCCAUUUUUCUCCAUGUCUCAUCAGCUUCAUGUGCGUUUCAAUAAAUAUCUCUUCAGGCGUCUUACCCUCACCAUUUUUGGCUUCUCUACAUUUCACAUGCACAACUUCCUCCACCGCCUGCACCCAUUUCAUCAACAUUAAUGCAUGCAUGAACUAUAUAUUGCACUAGAGAGAGAAAAAACUAAUGAAGAUGAAUGUACCUUAAACCAUUGAAUUUCUCUUUGCAUUUGCAGAGCAGCACCGGGUCUGAGAUUCAGAUCAGAUAAAGGUCCUAAACGUGCCGCCAAAUGCAAUAGAUUAUUGCCAAACAUGUCUGUUGAAUAGUUAAUUAUAUCCUUAUUUCCACAGAGAGUAUGCAUGAGUUGGAACACAUUGUGUUUGCGAUGAAGAACCGCAUACGAAAAUAUGUCUCUUCCAUGAUUGUCCAUUGCCCAUAAGAGGUCAUGGUUAGCCUCCCACAUAGCAUUUAUGAACUCAACAUUUCCAUGUUUUGCUGCUUCCAACAUGGCAUCAUAAACCAAAUAAUCCCGGAGUUGUGAACUAUUCAACUUCGAAACAAUAUCUUUAUAAUACCUUAAUAUUUGUAGAAAUUCAUUCUUUUGUCCAAAUACAUCCUGUAUAUUUUUGGAUUUCAGUCCACAUAGAUCCAUAAUUGUCGAUUCUGAAACAAUGGGAGGGAAAACAAAAUUACUUAUGGUUUAGUUUUACUAAAAAAAAGAUAUUUAGAAAUUUGAUCAUUUGAACCACCAAACAAUUUCAGAAUUAAUCCUCCAGAAUGUUAGACUCCGUAUUGUAAUUAAUGAAUCUAAAUUGUUAACAUUAGUGUAAGUUUAAAUCGAUUAUUAAUUUUUUUUAAAGUUGUUUGAGUUUGUAUUUUGUUAUUGUAAGAGUUUCAUAAGCUAAUCCGACUUCAUUUAGAAUUUAAAUCAAACAAUAAAAAAACAUUAUCACAUUUUAAUUCUUAACCAACAUUAUUUUAAAUAUACCUUUAGUUCAAAAAGGAUUGAUCUUUAGAUCCUUUAUUUAUAAUAAAAAAUAUAGAAUAAAUCUAAAAUAUAAAUAAAAAAUAAAUAUAAUAUAUCUAACACAUUAAUCAUAUUUAAUGAUUAUAAAUUAAAUUUUCAAUUUUUUAAAUAUUAUUUUAAAUCUAUAUAUCGUUAAAUCUAUAUCAAUUUUGGUUUAUUUAUGAUAAUCAAAUUAUUUAAAUAAUAAAAUAAAUAAAUUAUUUACAUUUUCGGUGGUUUUGAAAACCGCAACUAUGUAAACUCAACAAUUACCGGUGGUUUUUGAAAAAACUCUUGCUAGUACCGACAGUUUUGGCAAAACUCUCGCUAAUACCAGCGAUUCUGGCAAAACCCUGCUCAUACCAGCAGUUUUGAUAAAAUCCCCGCUAAUACCGGUGGUUUUGGCAAACUCUUGCUAAUACCGACGAUUUUGGCAAAACCCCACUAAUACCGACGGUUUUGGCAAACCCCCCCUAAUACCGACAGUUUUGGCAAAACCCCCGCUAAUACCGACGGUUUUGACAAAAUCCCCACUAAUACUGGCUAUUUUGACAAAACCUCCACUAAUAUCGAUAGUUUUUGCAAAACUCCCGCUAAUUUCGACAGUUUUGAAGAAACUCCCGCUAAUAGCGGUGGUUUUGAAAAAGGCGCCAGUUAAAAUCGUCUAAAACGCAAAAAAUAACCCUCGUAAAAAUUGUAUAUUUUUGUAGUGAGUUAGAUUUCUUUUAAAAGAAAUUGUAAACCCUUAAAAUAAGUAUCAUUGUGUACUUUAAAAUAAAUUUUAAGAUAGAAAAUAAUUAUUUAAGAUUUUGAAGAAAUUAAUAUUAAGAAAUAUUUUACUAAAUUAAAACCAAAUUUAUUCAUAUUAUAAACACAAUACAAACUACAAAAAUUCUUAAAUAAUAACUAAUUUUAGAGAAAAAUAAUAAUUAAUCAAUGAUUAAUUUGAAUAUAAUUUAUAAACAUAAAAUUAUUGAUAUCUAAAAUAAUUUUUAUUAUAAAUAAAAGUUUAUAAUAUAUUUAUGAAUUAGUCUGUUUAUUGAUUAUUAUUUAUUAAUAUUUAUUAUUAAAAAAAUAGUGUCUAACUUAAUUUCUAAUUAAAUAGUAUACGAAUGUUUUUCAAUUAAUUUUAUUCACUCGUUUCAAAACAGAGACAUACCUUGAUUAUUUAAAAUUAAUGAUUUUAAUUUUUCCAAAUUAAAACUUUUACUUGCCAACAUUCAUUUAAAUCACUUAUAUAUACAUGUUUACAUAUGUGAUAAACUCAAAAAGAUGAAUGAAAUAGACAAAGCAAUACUUACCCACAAACUUUCCAAACAUGUGCAUAAUUGUCAAAAUCAAUUCGACUAAAGUAUCUGAAAGAACCAUAAGAACAAGUUUAAGUCAGUUGCAUUUCGUACUUCAUAUAGUUAAGAGUUGUGGUUAUACUUUAUUUAGGUAGGGAUUUCUUUUAAGUCUUAAUUUAUUUAUCUCAUUCUUCAACUUCAAUUUCAAUAUUUUUCUUUUCAACAAAAUUAUCAGCACAUAAUCUUAUAUGAAGAUAUCAAUUUCUGAUAAACCACUUUUGUGAAAUUAAUAUAUUUUUAUAAUAUUUUUAAUUAAUACAAUUUUUCAUCAAAAUUAUUUGUUUUAUCUAUGUUUUUAACUCAUUUAAGUAACCCUUUACCUUUUUAUUUAUUUAUUCUCCAUCUAUUUUGAAAACACGUUUUCUCUACUAUAAUUUUAUUUUACUUUGUCCUUUACAAGUAUUUUAGCUCAUGUAUUACAUACAUAUUUACAUAGGUGAGUUAGAAAUUAACAGUUACAAUAUUGUGCUUAAAAUAUGUUUUUUUUUUAUGCUGAAAAGACCAGCUAAAUUAAAAAACUAAUAAUCAGUUUUUCAUAUUUGAAUUAUUUACAAGUAAUCCCAAAAACAUAUUUUGACUUAAUUUUUUGUGUGGAAUAACAUUCAAAGAUCUUAGACUGGCAUUUGUAAAAUAUGUUCCAAGAUCUCAUUAUCUUCUAUCAAAACUUUUCUCUGCAUACUCAAAUGUUGUUGAAGUCUUUAUCGUUAUGAUUGGAUGCAUUUCAACUCAAACUUAUGCAACUUUUUUUAUUCUGUGUUUGUUGCAAGAGUGAAAUUGUUCACUUUUUAUUACUUAAUUGGUAAUGAUUUUUUUUUAAUCUAGAACUUUUGGGAAAGAAAACAAUAGAAAUUACACUAUGAAUAAGUUGAUUGUAAUUAGUUUUUUUUUUUAAUUCUUGAUCUAGAGAAUAUUUUAUUUUAAUUAUGAAAUAGAUGAUAUUGUAACAAGUUAGAUUCAGUAUAUAUUCGAAUGCAUAAAAUUGAUCUCAUGGUUAAAAUACUAUUUCAAUUAUAAUUUUUAAUUUUUAAAUACACCAUUCUAAUUUAUUGCUAAAUAAUGUUUCAUCAGUUAUUAAAGAGAUUAUGAAAAAGUAAAAAUUCUAUGGAUUGAAUGCUUUCUUCCAAAAUAAACCAUAAUUGAAUAGCAAAUUAAUGUAAGAGAAGAAGAGAAAGCAUUAGGUAAAAAAGAGGAAAGUACUACCAUUUUUCAAACUGUCAACCAUUGUCUGCCAACGGCUGGCCUGUAAAUAUGCAGAAGGCAUUCGAGCCAAUUCGUGCAAGACGCGUAAGGAUUCAAUGGGCAGUUCCUUGUAAGAUUCAAGCAAUUUCAAAGCCACAUCUGCCAGUUCAAACCAUGCAACCAUUUCAGAAUUAACUUCUUUUUUUCUUAACCAUGCUAUCAACUGCAAACUAUAUAUAUAUGGAUGUACUGUGGUUGAUUUUGCUUACCAAAUAUAUGCGCUUGGAUGCAUCGUUCCAGAAGCAAAACUCGAUUUUGUGAAGACUGGUGAUGAAUGACAUGGGAAGAACUUCUAAAGUAAAGGUAACGAGUCAUUCUUUUGCGUCCUGAAUUAGCAGCCAUAAGAAGAGGGAUCUCACCCUCUUUGUUCUCUAUACCAAGCAAUUCUUCGCCACCUUCCGCAUUUAGAAAACGUCUUGCUAUAUUAACGUUUCCAGUGUAACCAGCAGCAAGAGCAAGAGCAGUAUUACCAUCCUCAUCUUGCAUUUCUAUUAAUUGCUUCUUCCCUAAGUACACUAACCCAGCCACAAUUGUGAUAUGUCCUUCUAUUGUUGCAACAUGAAGAACAGUCCUACCUGAAGGCGGAGUCCAAAAUAUGGCAUGCUGUUGAUCCUCCAAGUAUGAGUUUGUGCCUUCCCAAUCACCGUUUUCCACAAACUUGUAUAAAGCUUUGUGCUCACUAACGUUGUCGGAUACCACACCUGUGUGUGUCUCAUUCAUAUUAAAACGUAAAUAAAUAUUUAGAGUUAAUAUUAUUAGAAAAUAUAUAGUUUAUAUAAAAAAAAGAAAAAUUGAAGAUGCAUCUAAACACUUACCGUGUCGAAUAUGCGGUUGGACUUUAAACUCAGACCUGCAAACUAUAGCCAAGUGAUUCCAAGCUUCAUGGGCGGUUUGGAGGUGUUCAAUUUGUUCGAAAAUGUUUGGUGCACAUGAUAGUUGAAUAAUAUGCAGAGCCUUUGCGUCUCUCUGUGCAUCAAUGGGUGUCGAAGCAUAACCAUUCUCCACAACAUUCCACAGAUUUUCCCCCCUCAGAUAGCUUUUCAUUAAAGUUUUCCAUUGUUGAUAGUUGUAUCUUGUAAGCACUUCAUGAACUAUUCCGCGGGAUGCAACACCAAUGCAUUCCAUUACACACUGUCUUGUCUUGCCUACACACACACAGAUAUAUAUAUAUAUAUAUAUAUAUAUAUAUAUAUAUAUAUAAAGGAAGACAAAAAAAACAUAAUUGUGUUUGGUGUUGCUUUUAAAGGGAGGCAAGGAUAUCACAUAGUAUCAAAGUAAAGAACAAACAGAGGAAAUAUUAUUGAUCUGAAGUAAAAGUAAAAGUCUGUUAAAAAGAAGAGAAGAAGAUUUACAGAUGAAAAAAAGAAGAAAAGUAUAAUUAAAUUCGAACUAGAUAAUAUAUUUAAAAACUUUUAAUUGAAUUAUUAUAUUAAAAUUUUGUAAUCUAUAAAAUUCUAAAAACUUUAAAAUUUUUUAAUUGUAUUCUUAAGGGUAGAUUAUUUUAAUUUGGUCGUUUUAUUCUUAAAUUUUACUGAUAACUUGGAUAACGUUAUAUUCUAUUAUUCUGUCAUCUAAGUUUUCAUUACAUAUAAUUUUCAUAUUUAUAUUUUUAUAAUUUUAUUAAAUUAAAAUAUUAUAAAAUUACGUAGAAUAAAAACUAAACAUAGUUACAUUACUUACCAGAAAAAUUUAAUUGGAGAAACUCAAUUCAAGAAUUUUAAAUUUUUAAAAAUUCGAUAGACUAAUAAAUUUUUAUAGAAACUUAAUUAAGAAAAUUAAAAUUUAUAAUAAACUUAAAAUUUAAUUAAAAAAACCUCUAAAACUAACAUAAGAAAGAGAACAUAAAACUAACAUAAAUACGACUCCAGUAAGGGAUAAAUAUUUGGAAAAUUUUACAUGCAUAUAACUCCUCAUUUAUCUGCUCCUUUUCAAUACUUAAUAAAAAUUUAAUAUUUAUAUUCUUUUAAUUAAUUGAUCUUAAAUUAUUUUUUAUUUUAAAAUAAAAAUACAUUUUGACUGGUAUUAAAAAUGUGUUAAAUAAAAAAUUGGAUAUCUAUGUAUCUUUGCCUUAAAUAUUUACUUUAUAAAAUAGACACAAUAGAAAUAUUAUGUUGUUUAAAGGAAAAAAAAAGGAAAUGAUAAGUUGACACUCCUUCAAAGAAAUCAAACCACUUCAUACUAUAAUAUACUAACAUUUUAAUCAUAUUUUUUUUCGUAUUUUAAUAUAAAUUAUUAAUAUAUAUAUAUAUAUAUAUAUAUUAUUUGAAUCAGUUGUAAAGUUAACGUAUUCUGUGAAAAAGUAUAAUUUUUAAAAGAAGAAACUGCUUUUGAGUGUAGGGUUAAUGUGAACUUCCACAAGUAAUAUUAUAGAUUAAGAUAUCCAAAUGUUGUCUUUUACUACUAAUCCGUUGUAGUAGUUUGUCCAAUCUUGUUUGGAGAAGGACACCCUAAUUUGAGUUCAAUAAUGCAGAUAUUAAAUAUAUAUUAAAAAUCAUUUACAAACUUAUUUUAAAUUUAUAUUUAUAAAUUUUUGAGGGAGUGUUUAAUUACUGAUAACUAGUUAUACUUUUCUUAAAUUAUUUAUGAUCAGAGCUAAUUUUCUUAGGAAUUUAACAUUUGAUCCUCAUGACUCUUUGGUGUUCAAGUAUUUGAUGUUUACUGUCGGUAUGUUGUUACUGUAUAAAAACAUAUAAAAACAAUGUUUUUUUAAUAAUUAUUUUUAACAAUUUUUUAUAAUUGUUUGAAGUAAUUUGUAAUUGAUCUGUUUAAAAUAUAUAGACAAAUAAAAUAGUAAAACACAUAUUUUAUUUAAAAAAAUUAUUAAAAAAACUUCUUAACUUAUUUCUUUUAUGUUUCCUUCAUUCUUACAUGACGUAUCUCUUUCUUCAAUGUGUCACGUGUUUAGUUUCCAGUCCACUUUCUCCUCUAACAAGUAAAAAAAUAUAUUCUUUCUGCAUGUUUUUUUCUUUUACGAGAGUGUUAUUUUAUUAUGAUCUUUUAUUAGUAAAAAAAAUAGUUAAAAAUGUUUUGUAGAGUAGUAGUAACGGUACUGAUAUAUAUGAAAAAUUCUCUAUAUAUUAUUUAUUUUUCUAUUUUUUCUUACAUGAAGUUACCUAUUGUAAUCCUAAAAUUAAGUUUUAAUCUUAACAGUUAUUUAUUUUUAAUUGUAAUCCGCAUACUAGUUAUUAGUAGUUCCCAAUUUAGAUUUUUUUUUCAGUGGAUAUCCAUACAGAUAAUAGAAAUGUUUUAAAUAUAUUUCUAUAUGUUUUAAUAAAGUUGUGGCAUAUUUAAUAAGUGGAGCAAUAAGAAAUUUUACUGAAUUAUUCCUUAACAUAUUAGUGUAAUGCCCAAGAGAUACUUGUCUUGAGAUGCUUGAGUCACUUUUGUUUGUGAGACAACGUUCCUCGUAACUUUAAUAUAUUCCAAGAGACAUGGAAGAAAUUCCUAAUAAAAACCAAUGGCAUGAUACACGUGUAUAACUACAAAGCCCCAUAAAAUAAUUACUACAACAAAUUGUAAAAUUCUAACCCAAAUUUUGUUAUAUUAAAUAUAGUUAUUUAGUGGAUAAAAAAUUUUGUAAAAUUAACUCAUAAAUAUUAGAGUUUACUAAAUAAUGAUACCAAUAUAGAUGCAGAGUUAAUUUUUUCAAAAGUUAAAAGAUGUAAAAUUAUUUUUAAUAUUUUUUAAUGAAUGAAUAUUUCUAUUAAUAUCGAAUUAACAGAUUAAUAAAAAAAUUUAUUUAAAUUUAGGAGAGCUAAAUCGGUAUUUAGUUAUAUAUUAGGAAAUUGUGCAUAAAUAAAAUCAAUAUAAUAUUUUUAAGGUUUAAUAGUUUUUUUUUUUUUUUUCAGUUUCGUUGAGUAAUGUCAAUUCAGUCUCUUAUUUUAAAAGUAUUUGAAAUGUGUAUCAGAAAAGAUUUUAGACGUUAAUUAUUUUGUCUUUGACUUUCUUUCUUUUUUUUUCUCCUUGUGAUUUUCAUUUAGGGUUCCGUUAUUUUGACACCCAAUUUUUGACACACAUUUGACACCGACAGGUGUCAAGGUUCAAUUGGUUGGUUUUUUUUUUAAAAAAAAAAAAAUUGACCGGCAGAAUGAAAAUGGUUUCAAAAAAAUUUCCUUCCAAUUUUACCCUUGCCCAGUUUCAUUACCUUUUUUAUCUUAGAUUUCUUUCUCUCUCACAUUUCGUCUUUUCCCUUCGUCCUCUCCCUUGCGUUCUCUCUCUUGCGUUCUCUCUGACAUUGGUUCUCCUGGCGUUUUCGUCUUGUCCAUUGCGUUUUCUCUAACAUUCGUUCUUCCCUUUCGUUUUUUGUUGUCUGUUCUCGCAGUUUGUUCUCGUUGUCCUUGUUUGAAAUGAGAAGUUCCGGACAGCAGCGUGGUUGAAGCAAGGUAAAUGCGUUCUUCGACCAUUUUCUUGUCGGUUUGGGUAUUGGGUUUUGCGUUUGGUGUCAGUUUCCGUUGAUGUUGUGGUUUGGGUAUAGGGUUUUUCGUUUGUUUGUUGGGUUUCUUGUGGGUUCUUCAACCACUUUUGGUUUUUUUGUUAUUUCCUUUGGUGUUUACCAUUGUGUUGUUUUCUAUAUGCAGUUGAGCGUUCGUCAUUCUUUUUCAACAAUGUAUCUCUACACUUUGAACAAACGCUUGACACAGGACCAACGGUCACUCAUUUCGAAGACUCCAUUUUCUUGGUUUUUAAACUUGAGUGGGCAGAAAACAAUGUUAAUGUGGAAGCCAUUCUCCGCAAAUUUGUUCCGCUAACUGACCAACCAUCAUUAUCAUCAAAACAAGCAGACCAUUAAUAGUUAAUAUUACAUAUGGUUUCAUUUAUCUUUUCUAAUGCUGGUGAAAAUAUGACUUUAAUGGAUAACUGUAAUAUUGUGUUAUGAGCUCCAUAAUUGUUUAUGGGAUGACUGUAAUUUUAUUAAACUAGACUUUUUCAAUGUUGUUAUUUUGCACUUUUUUAACUUUUUUAGAUGUGAUGUAAUGUUUUAAGUGUAAUCAUUGUAUUCAGAUUAAUGAAAUCAGCAUAGUUAUUUUGUCAAUCAAUACAAAGCAAAAUUGUCUUAAAAAGCUCAGAAAUUCACAUGUGGUCCUCCAGGUUACCACAGGUGGUUCCUUCAGUGUAACAGCUUGUCCAAAACACAAAAAAGACAUGCGUAAUCAAUUACGAGCACCUUGUAAUCGAUUACAAGGCUGUUUUUUGCUGCAUAAAUUGCAAGAUUUGGCCCAAGUGCCUCUCAUAUGACUUGGUGGUCCCCUUCUCCAUGAUGGGGUUUCCCAAACAUCACCUCCAAGCAUACACUCACACUUAAACAACAUAAACAUUGAAAAAGUAGUGAACUUGUCUUAAAAAAACUUAGAAAUUCACCUAUGGUCCUCCAGGUUACCACAAAUGGUUCCUUUAGUGUAACAGCAUGUCCAAAACACAAAAGAGAAACGCGUAAUCGAUUACGAGCACCUUGUAAUCGAUUACAAGGUUGUUUUUUGCUGCAUAAAUUGCAAGAUUUGGCCAAAGUGCCUCUCAUAUGACUUGGUGGUCCCCUUCUCCAUGAUGGGGUUUCCCAAACAUCACCUCCAAGCAUACACUAACACUUAAACAACAUAAACACUAAAAAAACAGUGAACUUGUCUUAAAUAACUCAGAAAUUCACUUGUGGUCCUCCAGGUUACCACAGGUGGUUCCUUUAGUGUAACAGCAUGUCCAAAACACAAAAGAGACACGCGUAAUCGAUUACGAGCACCUUGUAAUCGAUUACAAGGCUAUUUUUUGCUGCACAAAUUGUAGGAUUUGGCCAAAGUGCCUUGUAAUCGUUUACAAGGGGGCUGUAAACGAUUACGCGGGUCUAAAAUGGUUUUUGGACAUCCUGUUGAACUGAAGGAGCCACAAGUGGAAACGUAGGGGACCACAGCUGAAUAGUAGUGUGUUUUCACCCAAGUCCAAUGGUUUUAUUUAUAAUUUGAUGUUCUUGAGUGAGGAAUUCCUUGAACUUAAUGUUUUGGGUCCCCCAUGUGGAGGAGGGGACCACCCAUGGUGAGAUUAUUGAGUCAACUGAAGUUCUGCUAGCUCUGGUGUAAAAAUGUGCCUUGUAAUCGUUUGCAAGGGGGCUGUAAACGAUUACGCGUGUCUAAAAUGGUUUUUGGACAUCCUGUUGAACUGAAGGAGCCAUCAGUGAAAACGUAGGGGACCACAUUUAAAUAACAAUGAUUUUUUAUUGUUAUUGAGUUCCUUAAAAUGUAAUUGGUUGUUUAUAUGUGAUUAUCAAGUGUUUAAUUGUCCAUUAAAUACACCAUUAUUUUACUACUUAAUAUUUUGUCAAAUAUAAUACGCGAAACAUUCAACCCACAUUCAACGAAAUGGUGUCAUCCCAAUUCCAUCUACAUGGACAUCUCUCGGUAAGCCAUUCAUUUGAACAAUGGUUGAUGAAUCCAGAGAGAUCCGAACCCGUCACUACAAAACAUUACGAAAACAUUGUUAUUACUUACCAAAAAAAUGCAACUAAAUAAAAUACCAAAACUUUAACUUACCUUUGGGUUUCCGGAAACCAUUGCAACUGCACAAAAAAUCAAUGGCGGAUUAGGGUUCACAAAACACAAGAAAAAUAAAUAACGCCAAAGAGACCCAAAACGCCAAAGAGAGUGAAAGAGAAGCCAGACAAUGCGAAAGAGAGUGAAAAGCCAAAACAGAGCCACAACGCCAAAGAGAGCUUACCUCAACAGAGUGAUUGCGAAAGAGUUCUUUUUUUUGUUCAAAUGAGGCAUUUGGAUGAGACGAAAGCCGAAUGGAGAUUGCAAGGGAUUGGAGAGAUGAAGCCGAAUGGGAAAGACGAACGGAAGAGAAAGUUUAGAACCAAAGUGAACAAAAGAAGAAAACGAAACCGCCAAAAUGAAAUUUCAUGUCAUCAGAAUUUCAAAACUACCCUCCUCAACAACGUUUUUUAUUUAAGUGAUAACAUCCAAUAGAAACUUGACACCUAACCCGUGUCAAAUUUGUGUUAAAAAGGAGUGUUAAAGAAACAUUUUCGUUUCAUUUAUACCAAUGUUGUAUUUGGUAAGAAAAGAACUUCGUAGUCCUCUUCAACAACUUCCGAGACAUCAUUUGACUUCAGAUGUGCAUUCGUUCUUGUUGUCCAAAUAAAAUAAUCAUCACAAUUAAACACAGGGGAUACUAGUGUUGUGUAUGAUGUUUCAGAAUCCAUCUAAUUGAUGAAUUGAAGCAAUGUGUUUUUGACUUUUUGUGGUGGGUUACCCUCGGUUCACUUAGAGGUCUAUCUAAAGAGACGACUACCAAUUUUUUGUGAAAGCAUACAUGAGGAAAAAUGAUAAAUUUAUUCAAUAAUAAUUUAUUUUAAAUAUAAAUUGAACAAAAGAAAAAUAACAUAUUGUGAAAGAAACCAAAUACCAAACUUCCUAAAAAAAUAGCCUUGAGUAAUUAAAAUAAAUAAAGUUCUAAAAUUUUGGUUAAAUAGCAGGAAAACAGAUAAGCACACGUUCAACAUAACCUAACGUGGCUAAGAGUAUAGAAAAAUAAAAACAUUAACAAAUAAUUUGAAAUGAUACUUAAUGUCGGCAUGCUUUGAUAGGCAACAACAGCUUACGAAAAAUUCUUCCGAUGAAGGUUGACUUUUGAUGACCGGUGAUGGGAUUUGAUGUUAUAAAUUGGAAAAUCUGAAGUAGGAGUCUGAGCUGUGAGGGUACGAGUAAAAUGAAGGGAAUGCCUGUCAAUAUGACGACUCCUAUAAAGAGGUGCUUGUAUAACCAUGAUUUUGUCAGAACUAUUCCAAGCGCAGCGCAGAAGGCAAUCAUCAUGGAUAUUAGGGACAGGGAAAGGAACCCAAGCCCUGACAUUAUCUUGAUGGGCAAUCUUUUUAGGAAGUCUGUCGGAGCAUAACGCGAUGUUUGCAGGUCAAUGUAUAUCAAUACUGUAAUGAUAGACGCCAAGAGAGAGAUUACAUCAGCUACAAUAAACACAGUAAACCGUUUUUCCUUUAUCGAAAGCGGUACUCCAGUCUCUUGAUGGAGACCUCCUGGGACAGUGAAGACUGCAGCGAACAUCACAGUUAUAACGAGAACACCCACAAUUGCAAAUGUCCCAGCUGUUUCUUUUGCCCAUUUUUCUCCAUCUUUCAUCAGUUCCUUGUGCGUUUCAAUAAAUAUCUCUUCAGGCGUCUUACCCUCACCAUUUUUGGCUUCUCUACAUUUCACAUGCACAACUUCCUCCACCGCCUGCACUCAUUUCAUCCACGUUAAUGUAUGCAUGGACUAUAUAUUGCACUAGAGAGAGAGAAAACUAAUGAAUGAAUGUACCUUAAACCAUUGAAUUUCUCUUUGCAUUUGCAGAGCAGCACCGGGUCUUAGAUUCAGAUCAGACAAAGGUCCUAAAGGUGCCGCCAAGUGCAAUAGAUUAUUGUCAAACAUGUCUGUUGAAUAGUUAAUUAUAUCCUUAUUUCCACAUAGAGUAUGCAUGAGUCGGAACACAUUGUGUUUCCGAUGAAUAACCGCAUACGAAAAUAUGUCUCUUCCAUGAUUGUCCAUUGCCCAUAAGAGGUCAUGGUUAGCCUCCCUCAUAUCAUUUAUGAACUCAACAUUUCCAUGCUUUGCU
rnacentral:lncRNA from 1 species